rnacentral:lncRNA from 1 species
AAUAGACAUAUGAGACUAUAAAUUACCAUUGGCUGAGCUGAGCCCAUGCCACAACCAACUACAUUGAUAUUCGACAAAGACUCAUAAUUAACCCAAAGAGAGCAGCCCUAGCAAGCCAUGUCACCCACAAAGAGAUUCAUUGCUACUAUCAUGGUGAUGGUGCUCGUGGUAUCACUUGAAGCCACCGUUGAUGGAGGCCCCAUGUUCCCCGAUGUAGUGGGCCCUUGUCUAGAUGGCUAUUUAUAUGUAUGUUUUAAGGGUCCAUUUUUUUGCGAGUGCGAGCCGGAGAGCAAUUUUCGACUAGUGGAUCACCAAAACAUGGUGGUGAGGUCCAAGAAGAGCAGCCAUAUCCAGUCCCGACAUACCAUUGCGGAUGUGGUGCCAUUUGGCCUUUGAGCCAUGUCAGAAAUUAUCAAUAUUCUGUCGGCGCAUAGAAGAAGGGGGACAACAAGCUAGAGCGCUGAUUCCAGUGCAAUGAUCUGUGUCAGACAAGUUUGCGAGUAGCUAGCUCAUGCGUGUACUAGCAUAUAUAGCAAUAAGGGCCAUACGACACCUCUAUACACAUGAAAGUAUGCCACCUGAUCUUAGUUUGUUGUUGUUCCAAGUUAUCAGAAGGGUGGUACUGAUGCUACUCAUGUUGUUGUAAGGCUUACUCCUAUUCUAAUGAAUAAGAUUUACUCCUUGGGCUACACAACUCAUGCAUUCUUCUACAAACAAUUAUGAAAACUGAUUUGCGAAUGAUAGCAAUCACAAAGUUUGGCAUGCCGUCUUCGGGUUACAGUACCCUUUUAGCAACAUAAGUCUAGUACCAUCAAAAUCAUUCGCUAUACAUUUGCGCUUAUCUAUUGGUUUGUCUUCGCUUCUGGACUAUCUUCAGAGUGCUGGGAAGAGAACAUCUAGAGCAGCAUACAUACACUGGUCACUUGGUAGUUUAUCGUUUCCACUUCAUCUGAAAUUAAGAUAGAUUAGUUAGUUUCUAUUGUCGCAGGAAAAUAUGGAAUACUGCUGCCAUAUCUAACCAUGAACGUACCUGCAUCUUCUCAAUAAGUUGACGGAUUCACGGGGAUGGAGCCAAGUUCAUGCGUCUCCGUUUCCGGCCAUAUUGGGGCACGCCGGCGAUAGGUUGGAGCUUUGCGACACCGAAGAAACCCGCCAUUUCCGAUGCCAACGACAGAGGAAAAGGUGGUGGAGACGGUGGGCGGGGGUGGUCUGAUUCCGGCGGCGUGGCUUGUGGUCGAGAGGGGCGAGCUGGCUGCUUAAAUUUUCUGAGAGUUGCCCUUCUUGAAGCAAAGAAAAAAAAACUAGGGGUGGCUUUUCGGGGAUGGGAGAUUAUAAUUUUAAAGAACUAAAAGUUUAAGGGAUUUGCUAGAUAGAGGUUAAUUCCCUAAACUAGAAAAUCUCUCCCUAAAUAUAAAUUUUGGGGAUCUGCUGGAGAUGCUCUAACAUAACCCUGAAAACUUAAACUUUUACGUCACUCAGUAACAAGAUCAUUAUCCAAAAAUUCAUUCACUAGAUGCUAACCUUUACUCCUCGUCCAAUGGCAGUAUAGUUGGAUCCAUUUAGCGAUUAUUCAUAUCAUCCAAAUCCAACUCAAAGAGAUCAGAGCUAGUGUCGCUGCCCCAACCAUCGCCAUCUUCCACCUGAUGGCCAUCGCUUAAUUUCGCAUCAACAAUAAUCUUCUCAUGGUCAUCUUCCGCCUUUUCCACCUGCUGAUCAUCACUUGAUUUUGCGCCAGCAAUCUUCUCAUGGGCCAUAUGGUGCUGCUCUUCCAAAGCAUGCCCGCCACAUGUCACCACCCACCUCUCCUCGUCGCCAUUGCCUCCCCUCACUACCCGAACGCCUUGCAGCCUCCUAUCCCCCACCACCACACCCAAAUCAUGAUCGCAAGCAGCAGCACAAGAGGACGACGAGACCUGGUGCGGCUCGUCGUGGACCCCCGGCGGAUUCUUUCGAAAGCUCGCCGCCGACGACACAAGGGAGCCGAAGAAGGCAGCGAGGUUGUUGUUGGUCUUGGCUCCCAGCUCCUGGGUGCUGCGGUAGCUUUCCUCCUGGUGAUGCAUAGGCCACCUGACAGUGACCGGGCCGGCAGCAAGGUCGGCGAGGCCGUCGAAGUAGCGCGUCGCUCCGAAUACGUCGAGUUCGCUGGAGCUGCCAUACUGAGCGCAGCGCUGCAUGGCCAAUGUUUGAGAUGGCCGGAGAAGUACUACUUCAUGUGGUGUUACACGUUGAUUGUAACGAAGUUGUGGAGGAGGUGAGGAGAUUUUAUGUUGGUGGGUUGGACUUCAUGGGAAUGAAUUAAUGGGGGCGGCAGGAUAGAUAGUGCAUCCAAUCCAAUGUCAUGUGUCAAGAAAGGUGUGGGUUUCAAUGAAUGAAAGUGGAGUAGAAUCUCAUGAUUUGUUGUCUGGCGUAUGGAUGUAGGAGUGUACUUUGGUUGUCCAUGCCUACUCCACUCCACCUGCAUGUGAAUUCUUGCUUGCUCAUUAAAGAUGGGAACUAAAUUUCGAUGACCAGAAGAAUGUUGUAAUUAAUAGCUAGCAAAUGUUGUUCAUGGGGCCGUCACGGUCCUAUGCACGCUUUGCACACACGUACGUGUAAAGCGUAACUCUGAAGAAAUCAGCCAUAUUUUUCAUUCUUGUAGGAAACACUGCAGAUGCAGAGGCUAGGUGUAAUUGGUAUCUUCGCAAUAUUAAUAUAUUCUCCUUUUUUUUUUAAAAAAGAAGGAAACACUGCAGUGACCGAAACUGGCACAAACUAUUGACAAAUCAGCGCCCAACUUACCACAAGCUGAGGCGACUGGCAGGAGAUGCCCACGUAUAUCAUCUCCUGUGAUGCCAAAUGCAGUCGACAGUCGUCGCAGAUUUCGGCUCUAGGAACAUUCGUAAAGCUAGCUAGCUGGUGAACACAACAACGGUCCAAAAUCCAGUCUGUGGCAAAUUAGUCUAGGCAUAUGCGGAUGUGAAACUCCCUCCGAUCCAUAUUACUUGUCUUACAUUUGUCUACAUCUGUAUCUAGAUAAAUCUAAGACAAGUACUCCUGUAUGGAUCUGAGGGAAUAAGAGUAUAACAGUGCUGAGAUGUAAAUUCCUAUUCUGCCUGAGCAGUCGAGUCAUGUUGUCAGCGAAAUUUCAUGUAUGUGAAUACUGUGCAGGUCUCCAAAAUCUCUUGAGAAUUGCUACAGGUACAAGUAAUUUCGAAUUUCAAUAAUGGCAAAUUUUAACAUGCUUCCUCUUACCUCCUCUUUUCACAUGGAAGGUAAGAGUACAUAAUAGACCUGAGCCAUUGUUGAUUACUCCAUGUGAAAAAGGAUUAACUCUUCUUCUGGUAGCUUAAGUAGCAUUUAGCAAAAGAGAUUCAGUACUUUCGGAACUACUUUGAACUUCUGAGCCUGAAGAUCACCACCCAAAAUAGAUUUAGAAUAGCAGCUUGUUGCACUUAAGUAUCCACACACCAACUUAGCUCCCCUCGAGUAUCAUAUCCAUUCGCGUUUGCGUGCCGAAUUAGCUGCCCUGGAGGCCACAAACCAAAAGAGAUUUAUAUUAAUGGUUGUAGGCAUCUUUUGUUUCGGAAUUACUGUUGCAAGUGUAGCAAACGUUUUCCUUUUAUCACACUUAAGCUAGCUAGGUUAACAGGCUAUUGGUUUGAUCUAACAACCUAACUGGCCAAAAGAAUAACGUUAAGGGGAGGGGUCACGUACGUACUAACGUGUGUGCCCUCUCGAUGCUAAGAAAAAGGGUUUUCCCCGCUUUGUAUUACAAAGCAACUAUCCGAUACAACCAACAAUAGGGGCCGGGGCGGAAGCAGCACAAACACGCCCAAAAGAAAGGAAAGAGAACAAAAGAAAAGAAACAAAUGCCCAUAACGGCGGAUCCACAAAAACGACGAAGCCUCAUGACCGCUGCGUCCACUGGAAGUCGCCCACCAAGCUCCGAGACUCCGAAGCGCCGGUACUAAUCAACACCUCCAAGAAGGGACGCGACGAUGACGACGCUGCUGCCAAGGGUUUCCCCCGGUACGUGGCGAGGAGAGAGGAAGGGUAGCCCCGACGCCCUCCAGGAAGGUCCGGAGGCACCCUCAGGCGCCACCGCUCGGUGUCGGCCAAGCCAACAGGGAUUUCUCCCGAUCCCAGCCUCUACCUCAGGCACUUCGAAGCUCGCCACCAAACCGACCACCACCCUGCGCCAACACGGACACGAAGCUUCCCACGCUGUCUCACCACGGCACCGCGAAGAUGGUCUGCACAACGAAGAACAGGAGCCGGGACUAGGGCAGCAACACCGUCGGCAAACGGGAGGGCCCCACCUCCACCGUCCACGACGGUAGCCGACCGGACGCCAUAGCAGGAGCCUACCGGGCCCGUGGCCCAAUAGGCCCGGCCGGGCCCUCCAAGGCCCGGACAGCUCCGCCUCCGCACAGCAGCUGGCACGCCGUCGGCGCCGCUGUCCCAGUCCAAGCCGCUCCCCUGCCUCCCCAUACAGAGAGCUUCGCGGUCGCGUCGGAGCCGACCCGCAAGGACCCAGAAGGGACCCUACGGGCCCAGAUCUGGGCCGGGGACGUGCCACCGGCCGGCUGAAAGUGCGUUAUAUCGACUAGAGGGAGGGGGGUGAAUAGGCGAUUUUUAUGAAUUCUUCACUGAGGAAUUUGCGGGUGAGGAAAUUCCUUAGCGAAGAACUACUUGCAGCGGAAUAAGUACUCAAAAGUAAACAUAGCAGAACACAAGCAUGGUCAUCAUGAUGAAAUGAAGACAAGCACAGAGUACAGAAAGCGUAAACACAGGAUAACACAGGAUGAAGACAAACAAACUGAAGAAAUUGAAUUGAGGAAAUUGAGAAAGUCUUCAGUCAAAGUCUUCAAACAGAUAUGAACAAGCACACAACAACUGUAAUGAGGAAAUGAAAGAGUUGAGAAAAUAUAACCAGUAAGCUUGGUGAAGACAAUGAUUUGGUAGACCAGUUCCAACUGCUGUCUCAGUUGUACAUCUGGUUGGCGGCUAGGUAUUUAAACCUGAGGACACACAGUCCCAGACACACAGUCCUCACCGUAUUCUCCUUGAGCUAAGGUCACACAGACCUCGCCCAAUCACUCGUGGUAAGUCUUCAGGUGACUUCCGAACCUUCACAAACUCGGUCACUUGGCGAUCCAUAAUUCCUCUUGGAUGCUCUAGACCAUGACGCCUAACCGUCUGGAAGAAGCACAGUCUUCAAAGGUAACAAGCGUCGGAUCCACGCAGGAUCAAUCUCUUCAGUGAUGCUCAAUCACUUUGGGUUUGUAGGUGUUUGGGUUUGGGUUUUCCUCACUCGAUGAUUUUCUUUCAAAGUCCUCGGAGGAUGGGAUGCUCUCAAAUGACAAGUGUCAGUUUCUCUCAGAGCAGCCAACCAGCUAGUGGUUGUAGGGGGCGGCUAUUUAUAGCCUAGGGAGCAACCCGACAUGAUAAGACAUAAAUGCCCUUCAAUGAUAUGACCGUUAGGUGGGUAGAUAUUUUGGGACAGCUGGCGCAUAGCACAGCAAUGGUCGGAAAUUUGAGGUUCAAAUUCCUCAGGGCUAUCAUGUUCCUCACUGUGUAGGCAAUCCGCAUUGCCUCAAGUCUAGCAACAGGUGCAAAAGUUUCAUCGAAAUCAAUUCCUUCAACCUGUGUGUAGCCCUGAGCUACAAGCCCUGCCUUAUUCCUCACCACAAGGCCAUUUUUAUCUUGCUUGUUGCGUUAGAUCCACUUUGUGCCAAUGAUAUUGUGCUUGCGAGGAUCUAGACGUUUAACCAGUUCCCAGACGUUGUUGAGCUCGAACUGAUGUAAUUCUUCUUGCAUGGCCUGAAUCCACUCAGGCUCCAGAAAUGCUUCAUCUACCUUAGUGGGCUCUGUGAUAGAGACAAAAGCAUAGUGCCCACAAAAGUUAGAUAAAUGUGAAGCUUUUGAGCAUGUGAGAGGACCUGGUACUUCAAUGUCAUCGAUGAUCUUUUCAACUUGCACUUCUUUUGCAACGCGAGGAUGAGCUGGUUGUCGUCGAGGAAUUUGAUCAACAUUUUCUUUAAGACCAUUUUCUUUAGCAUUUUCUUCAGGUGCAUUAGCUCGACGUUCUUCACGUUCUGGAAUGAAUUCUUCAGCAGAUUCUUCGGUAGGAAUGACAUCCUCGGUAGCCUUGAACUUGAUGGUUUCCUCAGGAGCUGGUUCAUCUAUCACAGAAGGUAGGUGCUCUCUUUGCGAGCCAUUAGUUUCAUCGAACCGCACACCUACAGUUUCAACAACCUUGUGAAGAACGUUGUUGAAGACUCAGUAGGUGUGCGAGUCCUUUCCGUAACCAAGCAUAAAACCUUAAUGUGCUUUCGGUGCAAAUUUAGAGUUGUGAUGAGGAUCUCUAAUCCAACAUUUAGCACCGAAGACUUUGAAAUAACUCACAUUGGGUUUCUUGUCAGUGAGGAGUUCAUAGGCAGUCUUCUUGAAGAAUUUGUGAAGAUAUACCCUGUUGAUGAUGUGGCACGCAGUAUAAAUUGCCUCAAUCCAGAAGUGACGAGGCGUCUUGUACUCAUCAAGCAUAGUGCGAGCCAUCUCAACAAGAGUUUUGUUCUUGCGCUCCACGACGCCAUUCUGCUGAGGAGUAUAAGGAGCAGAUAACUCAUGAGUAAUACCAAGUUCAUCAAGACCAGAAUUCUUAAACUCAGUUCCAUUGUCACUUCUGAUGUGCUUGAUCUUCACACCAAAGUUGGUUUAAGCCCUCGAGGAAAAUCGUUUGAAGACUUCCUGCACUUCAUGUUUGUAAGUAACAAUGUGUACCCAUGUGUAUCGAGAGUAAUCAUCAACAAUAACAAAGCCAUAAAGAGAUGCGUCAUUUGUGAGUGCUGAGUAAUGAUUAGGACCAAAGAGGUCCAUGUGAAGCAAUUCGAAUGGUCGAGUAGUGGUCAUGAUUGUCUUCGCUGGAUGCUUAGCCUUUGUCAUCUUCCCAACUUCACAGGCUCCACAUAAGUGAUCCUUGAGGAAUUUGACAUUUUCAAUGCCAAUGACAUGCUUCUUCUUCGCAAGCGUGUGCAAAUUCCUCAUGCCUGCAUGACCAAGUCGUCGAUGCCAUAGCCAGCCUUCUGAAGCUUUUCCAAGUAGGCACACGGCUAGUUGCGGUCCUGUAGAGAAAUCAACAAUAUACAAGUCUCCUCUCCUAAAGCCUUCGAAGACUUUGGAAUUGUCAGCUUUCAUAACCACAACACAACGAUACUUGCCAAAGACAACAACCAUAUCAAGAUCACAAAGCAUUGAGACAGACAUGAGGUUGUAUCCUAAGGACUCGACAAGCAUGACUUUGUCCAUGUGUCGAUCCUUUGUGAUCGCAACCUUACCUAGACCCAAUACCUGACUUUUGCCUUUGUCAGCGAAGAUGAUAUGCUUUAGAUGAGAUGGAGAUAAGGGAGCAUCCAUCAAUAGAUUCUUGUCACCAGUCAUGUGAUUUGUACAUCCACUAUCGAGGACCCACUCAGUGGCUUUGGGUUGAUCAUCCUGCAGAUGAAUUAGUGCAGCUUACGAACUCAUAUACUUCAUCAGUGAAGAAUAUGACAUCAAUUCAUCAGAUCAAUUUCAUCAAGUAAUAGAACAGAUAAAGCAGUAUGAGGACGUGAGAAAUGAAAGUUCAUUUCUUCAUGAUUAGCCUGCGUCCUUUCAGGCAUUUUUCAUGUCUCCAGCAAAUUCUUCAGACGUUCACACACGUCUGGAGACCUGACCCUGCAGAAGAGAUUAGUUCUUUUUCUUCACCACCCACAUCUGAAGGGGUGGCAAAGAGUUCAUCACUCUGCGAGCUCCAUACGAGAAAGGUGGCAUAGAAGCCAAUCCAUUUCGUUUCACAUAAGAGGAGUUAGGGUAAGCAUAUGAAUAAGCAGAGAAAUUCUUCGAGGACAUAUGAACAUAAUGAUUAGAAGAAUAAUGCUCAUAUUCAUAGCCCUUAGCUCUUCCCUGCGACACAGAGUUGUUAGCACGAUGAUAAUCAUAUGAGAACUUUGAUCCUUUUGAGGAAUAUGAUCCACGUGAGGAAUUCGGUCCGUAUGAGGACUUGGAUCCAUGAGAAGAAUUUGGUCCAUAUGAAGAAUUUGAUCUGGGGUUCCUAUUCUUCACAGGUGGUGUCAUGAGGACAUUCACCUGAAGACUUUCAAGGCACCUUUUGGGAACCCAUAUUUUCUUCAUAGGGGAACCGUUCCUGCAGUUAGUGCCAACAUAUCUAGCAAAUACUUCACCAUUCUGAUUUUUGAACAGUUUAUAGUUGGAGUCAAAUGACUCAUCAGAAGAAUGAGAAGAUUCACAUGUAAAGCCAGAUAGAUUAGAUGGAUCAACUGGAGGUCCCUUUGCAGCAACCCAUGAGGUUUUGGGUUACUGCUCAGGCUUUCAAUAUGUACCAUCCACAUUGGGUUUCCUCUCAAAGGCAAUACCCUCUUUCCUAGGGUUCCUGUUGAGGAUCUGCUUUUUAAGCACAUCACAAAGAGUCGGAUGCCCUUUGAGGCUUUUGUACAUGCCUGUCAUGUACAAUUCCUUCAGCCCUGCAUCAUCAGUGAUACUAGCAAUGUCCUCAGAUGAGGAAUUAGUGAUAGCAGAGACAGGUGAAGAAUUUGUAACAUUAGAAGCAUUUGAACAUUCAGGUGAAGAAUUAGCAGAUUCACGUUCAAUGCAUUUCAAACAUGGAGGAACAAAUUCUUCCGGAGUAGCGCUGAUUUGUUGAGCAAGUAAUGAAUCACGCUCCUUCUGAAGAUCUUCAUAACUCACUCUUAGCUUCUCAAGAUCUUGCUUUCUUUGAAGAAAUUCAUAAGAAAGCUUCUCAUGAUCAGAUAAGAGAGUGUUAUGUUGAUCUUGAAGGGUGUCAUACUUAGUAUGAAAUCUCUGAAGACUUUCAGCCAAAGCUUUUGACUGAUCCAUUUCUUCACCCAACAUAUCAUCGCUCCUAUUUAGCAUGUAUUGAACUUUUUCCAAAGCUCUUUGUUGUUUAGUGGCAAGGGAAGCAAGUUUGACAUAGCUGGGUCCAAAUUCAUCACCAGAUUCAUCAUCACUAGACUCUGAUAGGUAGCAUUCAGUUACCUCAACACUUUUUGUCAUAAGGCAUGAUGAAGAGGAUGAUGAUUCUGGUUCGAAUGUCAUCGCUUUGAGAGAUUCCUUGAAGUUCUCAAACCAAGGAUCAUGACGGGUUCGAUGACCUUCAUAGACCUCAGAGAGACGGUCCUAGAUAAGCUUCGCAUGAUCGAGAUGCAUGAUGUUCCUGAACUGAUUUUGAGACAGACAGGAGCAGAUGACGUCUUUCGCCGUGAGGUUGAGAAGAGUGUACUUGCGAAUGUCAUCAGCUUCCGCCAUCUUGCACAGAUCGGUAAGACCAAUCUCAGUGACGGUCCACAGUUCGUUGUUCAUCGCCAUGAGGUGCUUCUUCAUCAUGGCCUUCCACUUGGGAUACCCGUGACCGUCAAAGAUGGGGCAUGACACAGUCUUCAUUCCUGUGGUCGACAUAACUAAAACUCCAGGCGGUUAAACCAAAAUCACACAGAACAAGGGAGUACCUUGCUCUAAUACCAAUUGAAAGUGCGUUAUAUCGACUAGAGGGGGGGUGAAUAGGCGAUUUUUAUGAAUUCUUCACUGAAGAAUUUGCGGGUGAGGAAAUUCCUUAGCGAAGAACUACUUGCAGCGGAAUAAGUAUCAAAAGUAAACAUAGCAUAACACAAGCAUGGUCAUCAUGAUGAAAUGAAGACAAGCACGGACACGAAGCUUCCCACGCUGUCUCACCACGGCACCGCGAAGAUGGUCUGCACAACGAAGAACAGGAGCCGGGACUAGGGCAGCAGCACCGUUGGCAAANNNNNNNNNNNNNNNNNNNNNNNNNNNNNNNNNNNNNNNNNNNNNNNNNNNNNNNNNNNNNNNNNNNNNNNNNNNNNNNNNNNNNNNNNNNNNNNNNNNNNNNNNNNNNNNNNNNNNNNNNNNNNNNNNNNNNNNNNNNNNNNNNNNNNNNNNNNNNNNNNNNNNNNNNNNNNNNNNNACCGGCCCCGUGGCCCCACAGGCCCGGCCGGGCCCUCCAAGGCCCGGACAGCUCCCGCCUCCGCGCAGCAGCUGGCACGCCGUCGGCGCCGCUAUCCCAGAUGAAGCCGCUCCCCUGCCUCCCCAUACAGAGAGCUUCGCGGUCGCGCCGGAGCCGACCCGCAAGGACCCAGAAGGGACCCUACGGGCCCUGAUUGUAGGCGAACGCAGCAGAAAACAAAAAUUUCCUGACCUACGCACCAGCCCAGGACCACUACGGAGACUGCAUACAAGGUUUGAUCUUUUUCGUUACCGACUCGUAGCGCAGCGGGAAGUAGAGUCAAUGACGAUCGGCGGUGCAGAUCCCCGCAACUAGGAUUUACAACCUCCCAACCGCGAGGAUGUAUACCCUCAUCUGCUCCUCGGACAGCCCUCCGGGAGGCGGUCGAACAGCCCCCCGGACGGUGUCGCGGAAAGCCCUUCGGGAGGACCUUCGAAACUCGGGAGGACCUUCGAAACUCGGACGGUCACACGGACAGCCCCGGACUUCCUAGGCGUGUAAGUCAUAGUAACACCCUUUGGACACUUCCUUUCUCUUUAAGUUGUUGUUUUAUUCACCUUUCAUUAUAUGACAGGCGUUCUUCUGAAUCCCUUUCCCAACAGUCAAAUGCAUAGUAAACACUUUUACUAAUACUUGCAAACAAACAUUGCUUUGUUUGUAUCUAAAAAUAAUUUUCAGUUCCAUGAAUAUCAUAUAACUAUCCCAACUUUCGAAGUUUGGGUUUCAUGGAAGCAAACAUAUUCCACUUGACCGUAACCGAAUUAUAGCUUUUGGAUCGAAGGACGAGAGUCACAUGAUCCAUAGCAUUAGCGGGAGGAUACGGAAAGCAUGCGAUAGGACAAAGUCCUUCUCGGCACUUUUGAGGACAAUCCUCAUAUUACGUUACCAAUCGUAAAGUUUUAACCAGAUAUUUAACAGCUAUUCAAUUUUAAUAGGGAAGGUGGAAUCGCGAGCCAUUAUUCUACAACUAUUUUGCAAGAAACACUUAGACAGUGUUCAUAAUUAAUUGCACUGAGAAUUAAACAUGUUAAUUCAACAGUAAGCUCCCACUCAAAUCAAUAUCUCUCAUAAUUGAUUUAGAGUGAUUCAAGAUCCAUAUUUCUAUUCGAUGCCAUUGACGGGUUCAUCACUGAUGACACGAAUUUCAAUCGGUAGGCCAACUUGCCGAUCACAUCUCUAUGUGAUUCUUGUUCAUCUUUCGAUGGGCGUGUUCCGAGCUCAGGACUCUCCUGCCUGAACGUCAAAGACAACCAAGUGAUCUUGCUGCGAGGUCUGACCUCACCCGCCUCAUUCCUCUCGAUUCGUUCAUGCUCAUGUGUACAUGGCGCACCCCGAAAAGAUACGAAUUUCAGACGGUGCUACACUUGGGUGAACACUAACUACUUUGAUAUUUUAAGUGAGAGAUCACCCUAAUAAAAAGCGACUACCGCGCAAUCAAGAAGGGUGCAUCAUAAGGGAUAAACAUCUCAGGCAAUUCAUAAUAGCAUGAUAUGGUAUAUCCCUUUCUGACGGAGAAGUCUUUCAUUUCUUCGUCUUCGGCAUUCGCGUCGGUGUUCACCUUCGCGAAGAUUGCCACCACCUUGUCGAUGCACCAGAAAAUAUUGCUAUCUCUAUAGCUAAUAAAAUAAGUGCAUUACUUAAGGUUGACACGCAGGUCAUUAAAGUGACAAUCAUAUGGCUCCAGCCAUCAUGCCGAAUCAUUACACGCAGGUCAUGUUAAUUACAUCAUAUAGUCAUCUCAUCCAUAAUCAAAUUGAAUAUGAGCAUUGCUAUACCACAUCACAUGCACAUCCUGCAAAACCAAGUUAGACGCCUCUAAUCGGUUUAUGUAAAAUUUUAUUUUACGUGGCUUCUAAGGUUUUGACUUAAACCGCAGCUACCAACGUUUCAUCAUCAAGUAUGAUUAUUCAAGUUGCUAGAUUAACAUCUCGGGGUGUAUGAAACACGAGAUAAUUAAAUCUCGAGCCCCAUACUAAACUUCGUCAUACGCAUGACCCCCGUGCAGAUCAUAUCUGCAAUGCCCUUUCAUCUGCGAAUUUCAUCUUUCUUUUGACUACGGCAGAACCCAAAGAACUGAUAGCACUUCCAUGAUCAAUCAGGAUCACGGAUUGCCAGAACUUUGUCAAAUUCCACCAUGCUGUCUCGAGAUUGAGCAAACGCAAAUUCUAGGGAAGCAACAAGAACGUCGGGUAACAGAUUUCAUCUGUCACCCGCAUAAAUAAUUUUCAGCAAUAGAUCUCAUCUACUACCUAAUUAUAUUAUGCAAUACCCAUACAUCUCCAUGCAUUCUAGAUCGAAACCUGCAUCUACGCAUAGCACGGCUCUUGAUGCCACUGUAGGGGAACGCAGCAGAAAACAAAAAUUUCCUGACCUACGCACCAGCCCAGGACCACUAUGGAGACUGCAUACAAGGUUUGAUCUUUUUCAUUACCGACUCAUACCGCAGCGGGAAGUAGAGUCGAUGACGAUCGGCGGUGCAGAUCCUCGCAGCUAGGAUUUACAACCUCCCAACCGCGAGGAUGUAUACCCUCAUCUGCUCCUCAGACAGCCCUCCGGGAGGCGGUCGAACAGCCCCCCGGACGGUGUCGCGGACAGCCCUUUGGGAGGACCUUCGAAACUCGAACGGUCACUCGGACAGCCCUUCGGGAGGACCUUCGAAACUCGGACGGUCACACGGACAGCCCUUCGGGAGGCACUCACGAACUAAGACCGAAACUACAAUCUCUCUACAGAGUUGCACACAUACGGUGUCAUCUAUCCGGCAGGGCUUCGCCGUCCAGAACUAGUUCCCACCGGAACCCAGACAGCCUUUCGGCUCUACGAAACUAUUUCGCUGGGAGGGAGAGAGAAGCCAGAUCAUGCAUGGCACUUGUAUGUGAGAAGGGAUGAUCCUUUAGGCAGCCCCUCCACCCCUAUUUAUAGGCCAAGCCCAAGGGUGGCUUCUCCAAGAAGCCAAGGGGGGAAAUACCAAAAAGGCCCUCAAGGUGGCUUCUCCAAGAAGCCAAGCAAAAAGCACUUUCACUAUUCAUGACGACAUUUUUCAGCGUCCGUUCGAACUGAAAAUAUUUAUGUGGGCUCAGAACAUUUCCAGUACCCACUAAAAAUAAUUUUCAACGCGUUCCGAAACAAUUUCGGUUUAGUGAUUUUCAUCUGCGAAAAGCAAACAAGAAUGCGUUUUCACUAUUCAUGAAGACAAUUUUUCGCGUCCACUAAAUCCGAAAAUAUUUCUGUGGGUCUUAGAAUAAUUCCAGUACCCACUAAAAUGAUUUUGGAUUCGUUCUGAAAUAAUUUCAGAUUAGUGAAUUUCAUCUGUGAAAAACAGCCAAAGCGGUACCGUCAGCUCCGAAACAUUUUCGGUUUUUAUUUCUGAAAAUUCCAAAAAGUUUCCAGAAUGAUUCUGGCAUCCUCCAAGAAUUAUCAGGCAUGUGCCAAAACCAUUUUGACUUAAUGGCAUACCCCGAAACAACUUUUUCGGUUUCACCGAAACUCAUCCGGUGACCUCUCUCUGCGGUACGAUUCCGCUGUCCGAAACUUUUCGGUAUCAGAAACUUUUUCGGUGAUUUUCUCUCAGACUCCCUGUCUAGUAUUCAGCAGAUAGAUGACCCUUAAGCGUGUGACCCUAUAGGUUCGGUGAAGUAUAGACAUGACCUGGAACCCCUUCCGAUCAAUGAUCAACAUCGGAGCCGUGGACACCCAUAUUGACCCCUAUACCCACACGAAUGAAUAUUCGAGUGAACCUCCAGUUGAGGUGAGCUAUUCCUGUUGCUUCACGAUAUAUCACAAACACCUGAGGUGAGAUUUAUUGCAUCCCCGUGGGCCAACACUUUGUCCACUAUGCAAGUUACCUCGUUACCGGUUUUGUUCUCUUUUCUCGUUUCGUGUUCCGGCAUCCCCGUGAUCAAAUCACAAAGUGUCUGGCCAGACGAUGAUGGACACCGUAACACCGAGAGGGCCCGAGUAUAUCUCUCCAUCGUCGGAGGAGCAAAUCCCAAUCUCGAGCUAUCAAGUUACUUAACAUACUUUCCCAUGAACCCGUAAGCCGCCGUAAUAGCCAUCCAGUUACGGAUGAUGUUUAACAAACCCCAAAGUUCAUGAAGAGCGCACAAAGAAACUCGAUACUCUCAUGGUCUAAGGAAUUAUGCAAACAUUAACUAUCUCUGUGUUAUAAACCAUUAACUUGUGACGAAUGUAUCUCAUAGCAUAACAUCAAUUCGGGUCGAUUCAACACAAAUGUCCUUCCUGACAUUGUGCCCUCAAAGUUGCUUGGCAUAGACAUGCCCAUGAUUGGGAAAACAUAAUCAUCAUGCAACACUUGAGCUAGUCUUAGAGGCACGACUAGGAAUACAUUUUACCGUUUAUUAUUCCACACGUGCAUAUGGGUUCUCCCCAGAGCCUUUAUGGAUAUACGGGCUCGGGAACCACAGCAGUUAUAGCAUGGAACAUAAACAUAAUUAUGAACAGGGAGAUAAUCAAUAACAUUUAUUAUUGCCUCUAGGGCAUAUCUCCUACAGACUCCCACUUGCACUAGAGACAAUAAUCUGGCUUAUGCUAAUGCACUUCACACCUGUGGCACACCGGUGUAAAUAUGCUUCGCUUGUGGUAUAGCCUGAUGUCCAACGGAUCUGACGACUUCAGUUCCGUGUGUAUCUUUGCAUGUCCUCGCGUUUUCACGUUUUCACAAAAUUCAUAUUUUGUGUGGACUUGGCUUUGUAUGUAUGUGAAUCACAAGUCGAACCUGGAUUCCUCAGACUGAGUUAUGGAGCAACUACCUGCAGUAGUGUCCCAUUGUCAAAAGCCAUCUUGGAACUAUACUAAGUUCAUGAAUGAACUAUAUGAUUCAACAUCUUCUUUGUCGCUUCUAAAGCGUCAACAUACUUAGCCCUUGUUAUGGAAUUCGCCACAGUAACCAGUUUGAACAAAUUCCAACUAACUGUGCCACCACAUUGUGUGUUACACAAAACCCUUAAUUUAAAUCGAAAAUCGCAUGGAGAAAAGAUGAAGACUGUGUCGAUGUAACAUUUUACAAUGAACUCUUCAUGAUCUCUGCUUGCGAGAAAACCAUGUCAUCAGUACUUACUCUAGUACUCUGUGACAUCUUUCACUGUUGUCCCAUGAUCAGUAAUUUGAUCACUUUCGUAUCCAUACUCGCAACACCUUGGGAGUAUCGGACAUAUCUGGUUGUUUUACAUACCAUGGAAUACAUGAUUAAUCCAAACACAAAAGUGUGUGGAAUCUGCAUCAUGUAUUUUACUCAUCAGUGUUUUGGGACACCGAGUCUUGCAAAAACUCUUUCCAUGUGACUUUGGCAAGAAUCACUCCUUGGCGUUUUAAAUGCUAAAAGGUUUUAGCAUCUUGUCAAUAUGUAUUCAUUGCUUAGCCCCAUUAGGUAAAUCUAUCUCCAUAGAUCAUCAUGCCUAAUAUUGAGGCUAUUUAGCCUAAGCACUUCAUCGAAAAACUAUUUUCAAAUGAAGUCCUAAUUCGUGUCAAGAAAUUUAUUUCCAAUUACCAAUGUGCCAAGCACAUAAGGUUUUUAGAAAUAUUAUUACGCUCCCACUUACUUUCUUGAAUUACAAGCAUCUUUGUUACCCAUUGAUGAAAUCAAAACCCUUUUGACCAUUUCAUCAAAACACGAAGAUUCCAACUCCAUUUUGCUCUCUUCUGUCCAUUGCUGGAACUCUGAAGUUUGCAUACCUACUAGCAUCCUUUGGAUCGACAAAUUACUUUGGACUGUAUCAUAUACAAGUCCUAGCUUUCAUUUCCAUCAGAUGGAAAUCCUUUUAUCAUCCAUGUUUCAUAUCUCAUGAUUGAAAUAUGUAUUAAUUGCUAGUUCAACCCGAACCGACUUUAAGCAUCGCUACGAUGAAAACAACCUCAUCGUAGUCAACUCUUGAACUUGUUAUUUCAACAAGUCGAGCUUUAUGGAUAAAACAUUUUUAUCCGUAUCAGUUUUAAGUUCCAUAAAUAUUCGUUAGACUCUAAGUCUUCCGAAAGGUGUAUCAAGGUUUAAAUCUUGAAUCACUUAUAUGGAAACUAACUCGGGUUGUAUUGGCAUUUAGCCAAUUCCGGAGUCAGGGCCCAUCAACGCUUCCUUGUGUAUCGUAGGUAUAAUGUUGGCUAACAACAAUAUCUCGUUUGCGCACCUGAGAGGUUUGCACGAGCCUUGCCUACGUGGUUCAGCUGCAAGUUCGACCGAAGUUCAUACAUUUUAUUGUAGAGACUUCCGUAUCAGUCGCAGUAGGAAACUCUGGAAUUACUUCCAAGGUCUCAUUCCUUUGAUCUGAUGACGUAAAUACUGUUUAUCUCGUCGAGUUGCACUAUUCUCCCACUCACCUUUUUGAAAGAACCAUUCUCUUUAAAAGCACACCGUUUCGUGGCAAAACUAUUUGCCUCAGUAUAGUGAGGGAGGAAUACCCAACAUUUUGGUAUAACCUACAAAGUAGCACUUGUCUGAUUUGGAAUAGGUUUGUAACCUUUUACACAAGCCCCAUAUUCCAAAUGUUAAGAAAAGAUAUAACAUGGUUGGGCGUACCAUACCAUGGCUUCAUUUCAACAGACCCGAUGUAGCUCUUUUCAGUGUAAAAGCCGCAGUCUCUAAAGCAUCACUUUAAAAGGGAUAAUGGCAAAUUUAUUUAUGUCAUCUAUGACCUUACCAUGUCAUAAAUGGUUUGAUUACAUCUCCACAGACUUUCCACUUGCAGUGGUGUUCCGAGAGGUGCAAGUUAUGAAACCCCUUUCACAACUCAUCAGACAUUCGCUAAACAUGUAACUCAAAUAUUCCUUUGUGCAAUCAAAUUGCAGAAACAUAAUUUUCUUGUUACAAUAACUUCUACUUCAUUUUUGAGAACCUUUCGAAUGAUUUUAAAAGAUCCAGACUUACGUCUCAUCAAGUAAAUAUCCAUAUACCUACUUGAGUCAUUUCUGAAGAUAAAUAAAUCCACCACUAACAACACUUAUCGGACUACACACAUCAAAUGUAUGAUCACUAAUAAGUUUGUUGUUCGUUCCUUAUGGCCUGUGAACGGUAUUUUAGUCACUUCACUUUUCGGAGGAAAGUUGCAAGUGUCAGAUGAUUCAAAAUCAAAAAGACUUCAAAAUCCAUCAUAAUGGAAUUUUCCAUGCGGGUUUCUCCAAUGUGACCAAAUGUAGUGCCACACUUGUGUGGUAUUCUUUUAGUCUUGCGACAUUUAGCGUCAGUGUUAUGGAUGUAUCAUAUUACCAUCAAUAUUCAUAACAUACAUGCCAUCUUGGAUGGAAGCAUGGCCCUUCAUGUUAUUCAUAAUACUAAACAACAAUUGUUGUUUUUAUGAACAACUCUUUUGCAACAAACAUUGUGCAAUGGGCUAGAGUGUAUGAAACUCUAAAAUGAAUUAUGAAAGUAAACCCAGAGGUAUUGUAUUAUUAUCAAUAUUCAUAACAUACAUCUCAUUCAUAAUGAAAGUAUGGCCCUUGUGUUAUUCAUAACAUCGAACAUAAAAAGUUCUCUUAUGAACAACCUUCUUGCAAGAUACCUUAUGCAAUGGGAUAGAGUUUGUAAAACUCUAAAUGAAUUAUGAAAAUAAAUACAGACGGCAAUACACCGAUGGAAGGUAUAGUAACAUUUACUAUGUUCCCUGUGUAUACCUUAACCUCAUUUCUAGCUAGUCUUUCAGGCCAUAGUAGUUCUUACAUCGAGUUGCAACAGAAUGCAAUCGAGCGGGCAAUUUUGUGAUGAACUCACAAUACCCAAGAAUUAGUGAUUAACAUGUUUAACCAUAAUUCGCAAGAACUAUAUCUUUGACCAGCCUUCUAUACAUCAAAAACGUGUAUGACAUUCAUACAUGAGCUGGAUAUUCCAGUCUUCUUUCCUUUUGCCUUUAUACUUCUAACAGUUUAACUUUUAGUAUUUCUCCUACUCUCAGAAGAAGCACCCAACUUAAGAGUGGCAUUAGCCCCGGACUUCCUAGGCGUGUAAGUCAUACUAACACCCUUUGGACACUUCCUUUCUCUUUAAGUUGUUGUUUUAUUCACCUUUCAUUAUAUGACAGGCGUUCUUCUGAAUCCCUUUCCCAACAGUCAAAUGCAUAGUAAACACUUUUACUAAUACUUGCAAACAAACAUUGCUUUGUUUGUAUCUGAAAAUAAUUUUCAGUUCCAUGAAUAUCAUAUAACUAUCCCAACUUUCGAAGUUUGGGUUUCAUGGAAGCAAACAUAUUCCACUUGACCGUAACAGAAUUCUAGCUUUUGGAUCGAAGGACGAGAGUCACAUGAUCCAUAGCAUUAGCGGGAGGAUACGGAAAGCAUGCGAUAGGACAAAGUCCUUCUCGGCACUUUUGAGGACAAUCCUCAUAUUACGUUACCAAUCGUAAAGUUUUAACCAGAUAUUUAACAGCUAUUCAAUUUUAAUAGGGAAGGUGGAAUCGCGAGCCAUUAUUCUACAACUAUUUUGCAAGAAACACUUAGACAGUGUUCAUAAUUAAUUGCACUGAGAAUUAAACAUGUUAAUUCAACAGUAAGCUCCCACUCAAAUCAAUAUCUCUCAUAAUUGAUUUAGAGUGAUUCAAGAUCCAUAUUUCUAUUCGAUGCCAUUGACGGGUUCAUCACUGAUGACACGAAUUUCAAUCGGUAGGCCAACUUGCCGAUCACAUCUCUAUGUGAUUCUUGUUCAUCUUUCGAUGGGCGUGUUCCGAGCUCAGGACUCUCCUUCCUGAACGUCAAAGACAACCAAGUGAUCUUGCUGCAAGGUCUGACCUCACCCGCCUCAUUCCUCUCGAUUCGUUCGUGCUCAUGUGUACAUGGCGCACCCCAAAAAGAUACGAAUUUCAGACGGUGCUACACUUGGGUGAACACUAACUACUUUGAUAUUUUAAGUGAGAGAUCACCCUAAUAAAAAGCGACUACCGCGCAAUCAAGAAGGGUGCAUCAUAAGGGAUAAACAUCUCAGGCAAUUCAUAAUAGCAUGAUAUGGUAUAUCCCUUUCUGACGGAGAAGUCUUUCAUUUCUUCGUCUUCGGCAUUCGCGUCGGUGUUCACCUUCGCGAAGAUUGCCACCACCUUGUCGAUGCACCAGAUAAUAUUGCUAUCUCUAUAGCUAAUAAAAUAAGUGCAUUACUUAAGGUUGACACGCAGGUCAUUAAAGUGACAAUCAUAUGGCUCCAGCCAUCAUGCCGAAUCAUGACACGCAGGUCAUGUUAAUUACAUCAUAUAGUCAUCUCAUACAUAAUCAAAUUGAAUAUGAGCAUUGCUAUACCACAUCACACGCACAUCCUAAAAAAUCAAGUUAGACGCCUCUAAUCGGUUUAUGUAAAAUUUUAUUUUACGUGGCUUCUAAGGUUUUGACUUAAACCGCAGCUACCAACGUUUUAUCAUCAAGUAUGAUUAUUCAAGUUGCUAGAUUAACAUCUCGGGGCAUAUGAAACACGAGAUAAUUAAAUCUCGAGCCCCAUACUAAACUUCGUCAUACGCAUGACCCCCCGUGCAGAUCAUAUCUGCAAUGCCCUUUCAUCUGCGAAUUUCAUCUUUCUUUUGACUACGGCAGAACCCAAAGAACUGAUAGCACUUCCAUGAUCAAUCAGGAUCACGGAUUGCCAGAACUUUGUCAAAUUCCACCAUGCUGUCUCGAGAUUGAGCAAACGCAAAUUCUAGGGAAGCAACAAGAACGUCGGGUAACAGAUUUCAUCUGUCACCCGCAUAAAUAAUUUUCAGCAAUAGAUCUCAUCUACUACCUAAUUAUAUUAUGCAAUACCCAUACAUCUCCAUGCAUUCUAGAUCGAAACCUGCAUCUACGCAUAGCACGGCUCUUGAUGCCACUGUAGGGGAACGCAGCAGAAAACAAAAAUUUCCUGACCUACGCACCAGCCCAGGACCACUAUGGAGACUGCAUACAAGGUUUGAUCUUUUUCGUUACCGACUCGUAGCGCAGCAGGAAGUAGAGUCGAUGACGAUCGGCGGUGCAGAUCCCCGCAACUAGGAUUUACAACCUCCCAACCGCGAGGAUGUAUACCCUCAUCUGCUCCUCAGACAGCCCUCCGGGAGGCGGUCGAACAGCCCCCUGGACGGUGUCGCGGACAGCCCUUCGGGAGGACCUUCGAAACUCGAACGGUCACUCGGACAGCCCUUCGGGAGGACCUUCGAAACUCGGACGGUCACACGGACAGCCCUUCGGGAGGCACUCACGAACUAAGACCGAAACUACGAUCUCUCUACAGAGUUGCACACAUACGGUGUCAUUUAUCCGGCAGGGCUUCGCCGUCCAGAACUAGUUCCCACCGGAACCCAGACAGCCUUUCGGCUCUACGAAACUAUUUCGCCGGGAGGGAGAGAGAAGCCAGAUCAUGCAUGGCACUUGUAUGUGAGAAGGGAUGAUCCUUUAGGCAGCCCCCUCCACCCCUAUUUAUAGGCCAAGCCCAAGGGUGGCUUCUCCAAGAAGCCAAGGGGGGAAAUACCAAAAAGGCCCUCAAGGUGGCUUCUCCAAGAAGCCAAGCAAAAAGCACUUUCACUAUUCAUGACGACAUUUUUCAGCGUCCGUUCGAACUGAAAAUAUUUAUGUGGGCUCAGAACAUUUCCAGUACCCACUAAAAAUAAUUUUAAACGCGUUCCGAAACAGUUUCGGUUUAGUGAUUUUCAUCUGCGAAAAGCAAACAAGAAUGCGUUUUCACUAUUCAUGAAGACAAUUUUUCGCGUCCACUAAAUCCGAAAAUAUUUCUGUGGGUCUUAGAAUAAUUCCAGUACCCACUAAAAUGAUUUUGGAUUCGUUCUGAAACAAUUUCAGAUUAGUGAAUUUCAUCUGCGAAAAACAGCCAAAGCUGUACCGGCAGCUCCGAAACAUUUUCGGUUUUUAUUUCUGAAAAUUCCAAAAAGUUUCCAAAAUGAUUCUGGCACCCUCCAAGAAUUAUCAGGCAUGUGCCGAAACCAUUUUGACUUAAUGGCAUACCCCGAAACAACUUUUUCGGUUCCACCGAAACUCAUCCGGUGACCUCUCUCUGCGGUACGAUUCCGCUGUCCGAAACUUUUUCGGUGAUUUUCUCUCAGACUCCCUGUCUAGUAUUCAGCAGAUAGAUGACCCUUAAGCGUGUGACCCUAUAGGUUCGGUGAAGUAUAGACAUGACCUGGAACCCCUUCCGAUCAAUGAUCAACAUUGGAGCCGUGGACACCCAUAUUGACCCCUAUACCCACACGAAUGAAUAUUCGAGUGAACCUCCAGUUGAGGUGAGCUAUUCCUGUUGCUUCACGAUAUAUCACAAACACCUGAGGUGAGAUUUAUUGCAUCCCCGUGGGCUAACACUUUGUCCACUAUGCAAGUUACCUCGUUACCGGUUUUGUUCUCUUUUCUCGUUUCGUGUUCCGGCAUCCCCGUGAUCAAAUCACAAAGUGUCUGGCGAGACGAUGAUGGACACCGUAACACCGAGAGGGCCCGAGUAUAUCUCUCCAUCGUCGGAGGAGCAAAUCCCAAUCUCGAGCUAUCAAGUUACUUAACAUACUUUCCCAUGAACCCGUAAGCCGCCGUAAUAGCCAUCCAGUUACGGAUGACGUUUAACAAACCCCAAAGUUCAUGAAGCAAGCAUGAAGAAACUCGAUACUCUCAUGGUCUAAGGAAUUAUGCAAACAUUAACUAUCUCUGUGUUAUAAACCAUUAACUUGUGACGAAUGUAUCUCAUAGCAUAACAUCAAUUCGGGUCAAUUCAACACAAAUGUCCUUCCUGACAUUGUGCCCUCAAAGUUGCUUGGCAUAGACAUGCCCAUGAUUGGGAAAACAUAAUCAUCAUGCAACACUUGAGCUAGUCUUAGAGGCACGACUAGGAAUACAUUUUACCGUUUAUUAUUCCACACGUGCAUAUGGGUUCUCCCCAGAGCCUGUAUGGAUAUACGGGCUCGGGAACCACAGCAGUUAUAGCAUGGAACAUAAACACAAUUAUGAACAGGGAGAUAAUCAAUAACAUUUAUUAUUGCCUCUAGGGCAUAUCUCCUACACAGAUCUUGGCCGGGGACGUGCCACCGGCCGGCUGAAAGUGCGUUAUAUCGACUAGAAGGGGGUGAAUAGGUGAUUUUUAUAAAUUCUUCACUGAGGAAUUUGCGGGUGAGGAAAUUCCUUAGCGAAGAACUACUUGCAGCGGAAUAAGUACUCAAAAGUAAACAUAGCAGAACACAAGCAUGGUCAUCAUGAUGAAAUAAAGACAAGCACAGAGUAUAGAAAGCAUAAACACAGGAUGAAGACAAACAAACUGAAGAAAUUGAACUGAUGAAAUUGAGAAAGUCUUCAGUCAAAGUCUUCAAACAGAUAUGAACAAGCACACAACAACUGUAAUGAGGAAAUGAAAGAGUUGAGGAAAUAGAACCAGUAAGCUUGGUGAAGACAAUGAUUUGGUAGACCAGUUCCGACUGCUGUCUCAGUUGUACAUCUGGUUGGAGCGGCUAGGUAUUUAAACCUGAGGACACAUAGUCCCGGACACACAGUCCUCAGCGUAUUCUCCUUGAGCUAAGGUCACACAGACCUCGCCCAAUCACUCGUGGUAAGUCUUCAGGUGACUUCCGAACCUUCACAAACUCGGUCACUUGGCGAUCCACAAUUCCUCUUGGAUGCUCUAGACCAUGACGCCUAACCGUCUGGAAGAAGCACAGUCUUCAAAGGUAACAAGCGUCGGAUCCACGCAGGAUCAAUCUCUUCAGUGAUGCUCAAUCACUUUGGGUUUGUAGGUGUUUGGGUUUGGGUUCUCCUCACUCGAUGAUUUUCGUUCAAAGUCCUCGGAGGAUGGGAUGCUCUCAAAUGACAAGUGUCAGUUUCUCUCGAAGCAGCCAACCAGCUAGUGGUUGUAGGGGGCGGCUAUUUAUAGCCUAGGGAGCAGCCCGACAUGAUAAGACAUAAAUGCCCUUCAAUGAUAUGACCGUUAGGUGGGUAGAUAUUUUGGGACAGCUGGCGCAUAGCACAACAAUGGUCGGAAAUUUAGGUUCAAAUUCCUCAGGGCUAUCAUGUUUCUCACUAUGUAGGCAAUCCGCACUGGCAAAUUCCUAACUCCUCAGUCAGAACAAAUUCCUCAGAGACCAGAAGAACUUCGUCUCUUUCACUGAAGAAUAUGACUGAACUGUAUGAGAUUUCCAAUGGCUUCACUCGAAGGGAUUGGUAGGUGUAGGAUUUUGAGUUGAGCAUCACAUGGAAAUUUUUCCUUAGUAUUUCCUCGACCCCCUUUAACAGUACGGUGUUUCCUAUGACUCAAGAAAGAGAAAAUGAAACUACGAAAACAAAAGUCUUCACGCUUCAUGUUCUUUGAAUGAAUACCAAGUCUUCAAGGUCACACCAAUUUCUUCACUUUCAAAGUCUUCAGAAAGUCUUCAGAAGUCCAAAGUCUUCAGUCGAAGAACUUCAUUUUUAGGGGUCGACUUUCUCUGUAAAUAUCAAACUCCUCAUAGACUUAUAGACCUGUGUACACUCAUAAACACAUUAUUCCCUUAACCUAUAAGUCUUCAAUACACCAAAAUCACUAAGGGGCACUAGAUGCACUUACACCGGCCAGCACCACCGGACUGCCCCGCCGCCAAGAGGCGGCACCACCACGGCGAGCGCCACCGGCCUCCACGCCAGGACGUCGGACCGCCACCGGCCGUGGCGCACCGCCGCCGGCCAUCACUGCCCGAGCAGGGGAGGGCCGCGCGCGGGUGCCCUCUCGAUGCUUAAGAGGAGGGUGAUAAUUAAACAUCAAUUAGUUAACACUAUUCGACGAGAUGAUUGGAAGUUCCGGCAAUCCCACGUUUAAUGUGGCUUUGAAUAAAUAUAGCAAAUCGAGCAAUAAUUCCGAAUCCAAUUACCAGAGGGUCGCCGAUUGCAUUGGCGCGAGGAGAAGAGGAGAGAGCCCAAGAAUCGCAGCGGCGACAUCGUCUUUCUACACAAUCAGAUAUCUUUUUCGAACACAGUACAGACGCAUACGCUGCACAUACACUCAUUCCUAUGAACGCAUGCACGCACACCCUAUGUCUAUGACCACCUCCGAGAGACUGAGACGACACAUCAUCUUGAACGCACAUCGCCGGAAGAUCUGAAAUAAAUCCAGCAGCGGGUCCACUGUCCUCCUGACCAUUCAACCACAGAUCGGUUCACACACAAUCAGAUAUCUAUCUAGGGCUUGUUCAUUCGUUCAUCUGUGUGUUUCAUCAGCGAUUCUAUGCACUUUCUUUCACCAAGUAUAGACACGGGGCCAACAGUUAAGAAACACCCUCUCCAUGGCAAACGCAAUAUAUGUGCUUGCCCACAACACACACACAAAGUUCCUUUGUAGCUCAGGCUACAUGGAACCUCUUAUCCUCAACCCUCCAGCCUUGCUUUGAGAUCCGUACUCUCCAACUAACUUACAACAAGAAGAUUUCUCUUUUUUGUUUCUCUAAAAUGAAACAACAUAUGAACUUCAAACUUUGCAGAUCGAACAAAUAUUAGAACAUCAAUGUGUGAAAAAACUUUCAGAUUUUUUGGUCCGAUAUAAAUAUAGAAAAUGAGAUUUUGUUUGACUAAAAAUAUUAUUUUAAGUAUUUAAAAUGCAUGAAAAAAUUUGAAAGUUUUUUCCCAGAUUGUAGUUAGAAUGUAUUGUUGUUUUGCAAAAUUUGAAGUUUAUAUGUUGUGUCAUUUGAGAGCAACAAAAAAGACAAAUGCGUCUGCACAGAUCGCGAUGCAUAAAUGGAUGGCAAAGAUAAGGGGUAACUUGUACGUAGGCACAAAUUGGGCCAACAGGUCUCUUCUAAAAAAAAGUAACUUGUACGUAGGCACAAAUUACACGCACACAGAUCUGGAGUGUUUCAUGGUGAUUUCUAUGGGUUUUUUUGUUUGCGGGGAUGGCGAUUUCUACGUUGAUGCCGAUUAAAUGCAUUGCCGGUUGCAUUGGUCACAUUAGCGUGUACGCUAUCACAUGUACUCCCUCCAUUCCUUUAUACAAGGCCACAAACUCAUACUACAGGUACCAAGAUAAAAUUUAAUGACUACUUUGCAAGUCAACUUUUCUUUUCGUUAACUGGAAUCAUUAAUACGCCACAAGUAUGCAACGAAUGAAUGGAAAGGAAGUAGCUAAGUGUCAUUAUGACUACAUGCAUGUAAGUAUUAAAAAGUUGUUAGUACGAAAAAACAUCAUUAAUUUUCGACUCGGUUACUGUUGGUGGCCUUGUAUUGAUGUGAAAUGUAUUUUUGAUAAUGGCCUUGUAUAAAGGAAUGGAGGGAGUACACAAAUCUAGAGUGCUUUAUCAGUCAUUGCUUGUACACUAAUCCUGAUUUACUACCUGCCAAAUGUAUUGCCUACGUACUGUUGUACUAACAUGUCCACUAUCAUUAUGCACAGAUCUAGAGUUCUCCAUCGGUUUUGGUUUGUACAAUAAUGCCGAUUAGAUACAUGUCACUGGCAUUGCUUAUUAAUUUGCACGCUAACACCACGUGAACCCAUACACACAGAUCUAAAGUGCUCCACAUACGGUGGUGUGUACGUUAAUGCUGAUCAAAUACAUGCCAGCUAUUUUAAUUUUUUGCUUGUGCGCUAGCACUACAUACACGUGUACACAGACCUAGAGUGUUCCACGGGCAGUGGUUUGUACGCUAAUGCUAAUCCAAUAUACCUGCCGAGUAGACAUACAGAACUAUAAAUUAAUACUGCUCGAGGUAAGCCCACACCACUACAGACUACUUCGAGAGAUAUAGAUCGACGAAUUAACCUUAAGAGACUAGCUAGCCAUGUCCUCCACAAAGAGAUGCAUUGCUACUAUCAUGAUCAUGGUGCUAGUGUUUUCUCUUCAAGCCGCAGUUGACGGCCGCCGCCUCUUCUCCAACUCCAGGAUCAGGAUUUUUCCUUCUUGUCCAGUCGGCCAAUUAAUGAAAUGUCGGACGACUUUUCCACCAACUGGUUGUCGGUGUGUGCCGGUAAGUAAUCUUCGACCUGUGGACACCCACAUCCUACCCCAACACACCGUUGUCAACGGCGUCAUCUGGCUUCCAAGCUAUGUCGAAGAUCAUCAAGUGAUAGCAGGCGUGAGUCAGGAGGACAACAAGCUGAGCUACCGGCCGGUGUGAGCAAGACUGUCCACCAGAGAUAAUUCAGUGAAGCGAGGUUGAAUGUUGUUGCAUGUGAUGAGUAGCUAGCUCGUGCGUAUACUCGCAUAUAUAGCAAUAAAGGGCCAUGCAACAUACUACCUCCAUAAACAAGGAAAGUGUGCAUCUGAUCUUAGUUCACGUGCAUAUCAUGCCUGUUGUUCGAGUCGACCUGGGUAAUGAUGCUACCGUAGCAAUGAAUAAGGGCAUCUCCAAAGCGGACCCUUAAACCUCCCUUAUACUUUCGGACCAUAGCGUCCGGAGCACUUUUGUCAUCCAACGGAGACACUUAUAUGUCCGCUUAGCAGUUUGGAUGUACAGGUUCCGGUAUCCUAGCAACCGGACAUCUAGUUGACCAACCGAAAGUAACCACGUGAUCCUCCUAUCUUUUCUCUCUCUUCACAUCCAUGGUCCCCCUCUCCUCUCUCCUCACAACCGGAUUAAUUUGGGAAUAGUGUUGGAUGAUUAGCUCAUGCAUCAUGCCCGCGUACCACGUCCAGACAAACAGAAGAACAUUUGCGGUGUCCGUUUGCUGGUCAGUGUUGGAGAUGCCCUAAGAUAAUGGCCACUACCAUAUACAUAGGGCACUGCUUCGGCCUAUCGACGCCGAAAAUCUUCCAUGUCUUAUUCUACUACUAGAGGCUACCGUACGACUUUGAGUGCCAUGCGAUUCAUGCAACCCUCUAGAAACAAUUAUAGAAGUUGCAGCUUCAUGACGCGCUGGUUGCAUUUUGCGGUAGCCACGGGGGUGUUGCAAAUAUGUAGCAAGAGGGGCCAAGAUUUUGGGCUGCCCAACUUCUUUUUGCAGCACUGCAUGUAGAUACUCAUCUGCUGAGCAUUGUUUUUGAGCCCAAAUGCCCUAAACAGUAGCUUUUCGGGCACCAUGUCUGUUUUACAUCAUCUGUUGGAGAUUUGACUCAAAAAAAAAAUCUGUUGGAGAUGCUCUUAAUGAGCUGAUCGUUCUUUCUUCAAUUCCAGCACCAUCCAUUUCUUUCUUCUAGUAUAAAAUGUGUUCCGGACCUAGUUUUACAUGAUGCAACCAAGCAUUAUUCCUGUUGCAGGUUUGGGUGCCUCUUAUCCAUUUCUUAGUCACUAUUUCGUGCUCGGCAGUAGGUACUCAGCUAUAGCUGAAGCACAGUUCAAAACUAGAUUAGUGUUUUCUCAUUCAUUUCAUUUUAGGAACACCUAUUCGCUCUCUGUUAUCUGUAUUUGCAGUGUAGACCCAUGAUAUUUCCACUAGAAAUAUCUGUUCUAUAUGCCUGAUAUUCAAAGUUUUGGGAACUCAUUAGUGAAAACUUCUUUUUUUCAAACAAAUACAUAAAAAGUAAAAUUAUAAAGAGUGGAACUUCGUUUAUAAACAUAAGAUUAUAAAAAUUGGCACUUGGCGUAUACAAAAAUGUAAGAUUAAAUGUUUGAAGGAUUCCUGGUGAAUGUUUUUUGUUGAAAUUUUUUCUUAUGUUUCAACAUUUAAUCUUACAACGACAAUGUUAGGUUAAAUGUUUAAAUGCGAUAUUACAAAUCGUGAUCAAAAUUUUAAUAAUCUUCAUCAUAUUUUGUUGGAUAAGAUUUUUUAUUUUACGGGUGAAUACUAUAAGCAUGAUAACAAUUACUCAUUGUGUGCUUCGCAUGUCUGUUCUUGCAAAAUGCUUCAAAGUUGAGAGGUGUCUUGCACGUACACGGUUACUAGUAUCCCAACAAAGCACCUCUCAUCGAAUCUUAAUUGGAUGUGACAGGCCACAAGGCCUGGAUUUGGUAAGAAGGGUAUUUUUUAUAACCUUCGAGAACAUUUUUCCAAAAAACCGUGAACAUGUUUUUAAAUUUGUGAAAGCUUUUUACAACUUUUGUGAAUAUAUUUUAAUUAUGUUGACAUUCUUUUAUAACCCAUACAUUCUUUAAAAACAUGAACACUUUUUAACAAUUCUGAACACUUUCCGGGACACAUAAAAAUAAUAGGAAAAAGAGAAAAAGGGUAAAACUUGGACGAAGAAAAAUAACCAAAAGUAGAAACCCAAACCGGAAGUUUGAUGAAAUUCCUAAAACUGAGAAAACCAGAAAAUGCUAGGCUGCUAAAUGAACCAGCCCAAAUUUCAACCCCCAGUGCCAUUUGGCGUGCGUCAGAUAGGAAAUGACCCUAUUCUGGGAAGAUCGAUGGUUGGAAGGUUUCCGACUGCAAGAGCUUGCACCGAACCUCCAUGCUAAGGUGAGGUAACAAACAAGGAGGACUCGAACGGUAGCACAUACAUUACCGGGGAGAGUUUGGGCGAGAGAUGUAGGCCCGGAGCUGACCAAAACAAUGCUAAAUGAGUUCCUUGCCUUGCGGAUGCAAGUCACGGACAUUCAGCUUGACUGAGAUGCCACAGACUCAAUCUCCCGGUCUUGGGAAACUAAUGGUGACUUCUCUACCAAGACAACAUACUUGGCGAAGUUUUGGAGAAGACAAGUGUUGCCCAGGGCUGCCUUCACUUGGAAAUCAAGGGCCCCUUGCAGUGCCAUUUUUUUUGCAUGGCUUGCACUUCAAACAGAUGUUGGACUUCCGACCGUCUGGCAUCCCAUGGCUUGGAUCACCAGGAGAGUUGCCCUUUCUAUGCACGGGAGGAGAAAACAAUCGAACACAUCCUGCUUCAAUGUGUCAUCGCAAGGGAGGCGUGGACCAUCAUAUGGUGUAUUUGUAAUCACCAAACGUGGAGGGGUUCUUCUCCCAUCCUCUUCUUUAACAUAUAGCACGCACGUUCAUGCAUAUUCGAGAAAAAAAUAGGACAUGACCCCUGGGGUACAUACACUCUACAGUUGAUUUGUUUCCCUAAAAAAAACUACUGUGUAUAUGCUUGGGUGUUACCCCGUCAAAGAAAAAUGAUACCCACAUCCAUAUACUGGCCCAGCUCCAAAGAAAACAAGCUUAGAAGGUAAAAGCUUCAUUUUCUCAAAAAAAAUAAGAAAGGGAUGUGCUAGGCUUCCGCCUGCUGAUCUUUUUAAAAGAUCAGGCAGGUAGCGAGCCAUCAGAUCUGGUGCAUCAAGCAGCCAAGCGACACCUCCAGCAUUGCAACAGAAGUCAUGUUGUAGUUUCUUUUUACAAUAACGGUCUUGUUGGAUUUUUUUUUUGCAACAUAGGUUUUGUUGCAGGAUCUUUUUUGCAACCUCUUGCAACAGAGGUAAUGUUGCAGAUUUUUUUUUUCUCAGACAAGGAGGCAGUCCAUGGGGCGGUAGCGUCUCCCGGCUGCAGGCGAUGCAGAGACUUGAGAGGCGCGAGGCGGCGAACUGAUCCACGUGCCAGCAACACGGGAGGAAUGGUGAGGUGGCGGAGAAGGGACGGGGGCGAGGAGAUCCGGGCGGUGGUGGCCAUGCACGAGGAUGGCAACUAAGCACUUGUAAUAUGAACACUAAGCAUUUUUUAGCAUGGCAACUAAGCACAUGUAAUCCGGCAAGUAAGUACUACGUUUUUAGCAUGACAACUAAGCACGUGUAAUCUAGGUGGUAAGUAUUCUUUAGCACUCCAACUAAUCACUUCCUCUCCCACUUCUUAUCCAUGGCUGCUGUUCGAAGAUUUGAUGUCUAAAGUUGAUGUGUUAUGGAAGACACACAUUAGCAAAGAUGAAGGGAACAGAGUGGGGACGAUGAAAACGAAAGGGGGCGAGUGGGAGCGAAUAUGGAGUUUUUUUAGGACAAACUGGUAUAAUGAGGGCCCAUGCAGCCUGCUCGUUCUGAACGCAGUGAACGGCUCGGACGUAUACGGUUUUGAUGGUUUAUUAUUCUUGGACCUUCGUGCGCUGCACGGGAAAGCAGCCGCUGUGUAGUUCACAGUCCAAGAAAAAUAAGGAAAGAAAAGAAAGAAGAGAAGAGAGAAUUCCAGGACGAAAAGAUAUGCAUGCAUGCAUGACUUGUGUUGCAGGGCUGGGCUCUUUCAUGCUGCGCCCAGAAAGGAGCAAGAAAUAAAUGGCACGGGCAAGCCCUUUCAUGCUGCACCCAGAAAGAGCCAAGAAUAAGUGACACGGCUUGCCAAGGUGGUGGCACAGAUAUAUCUUCUCCCGUAACGUUGGACGCAGACACAACUUCAUCAGCACUACCAAAGACAACUCCGGCGGUCUUUCCCUUGUCCGGGGAAGCUUUCCAGGAUGUUAACACUGCAGAUGAAAGACGCGCCCUUGAUCCGUGAUCCUCUUUCCCGCGCAGGAUGUGGACAUGCUUCCCGCGGCGUCAGUGGAGGUACACCGCCAAUCUUGGUAAUGCUUCUCCUCCUUUUCAGUUCUUUUAUGUUUUGCGGGAAGGUAAUCCUUCUGCUCCACGCAAUGACGUCGCGUGCUAUUUUUGUUUUUCCUUGAUUUUUUUAAUUUUCCUACGUGUUGCAAUGUUGAUUAAUUUGGAAUGAAAACCAGUUUACCAAAACAAAACACGCACAAAAAUGAACCAGAGCUCGCUUGGGGGAUAGGGUUUAGAAUAAGAUGAUAUUUGUUUUUGUAUUUUAAUGCACAUGAUAUAUUUUUUGUGUCUUCCACACAUGAAUUGUUUUCAGAUUUUUGGGGAAACUCUGGAAUAAGAGAUCGCCCUCCAGGCAUUAAUCCGACUUUAUAGCAUGGUUGCACACCUUUAAAGUUCCCAAACUGUUUUUUUUUUACUGCAAAUUUAAGGGGUGCUCUGAAUUGCAUUACCCAUAAAAACUCAUCAAUCAAUAUGAUAAAUUGUCGUGUAUGUAUGUAUGUAUGUAUCAAUGCAUAAAAAGGACAAGAGGUAUUAAUCUGUGGACAUUGAUAGGUUAUCAGUGAACAAUAUGACUCGAUUCAUCAGUGGAUAUUGAUAGUUGGAUGUGCUUAACUAAUACAGAGCUGCUUGUAUUAAUCUGUCAAAUGGAACGCAGGAUCAAAAGACCAACUCCUGGAAGAAAUUAGUGAACGUUUCUGUGACAGGUGCAACCGGGAUGAUAUCAAAUCAUCUGCUAUUCAAAGUAAGCAGCGCCGAGUAUAUUCAAAUUUUAUCUAUGUAGAGGUGUUGGCACUGUCAACAAUUCUCCUGCUUUUAUUGAAAAUACAUAGAAAAGAAAGUCUUAGUAGCAGUCAUAAUAUUCUCAUUUACCAGAUGCAAGGGCAGUAUAUUGAUAGUGGCAAGUACUGCCAUUCUGUUGUUGCCACUAAUGAUUACAGUCACGUGUUUCUGUUUUCGCCAAUACGACAACCGAAGCUACCUGCUAUAUAUGCACAUAACUGAUUAUUACUUUCAUUUCUGCUGAUCUAUCAUCUUUGUGUUUAAUUACAAUGCGAGUGGCCAUAUUCUUGUAUUGAAAUUUUGCGUCUAGCACAUCUGAAACAUAUGGUAGUACUGAUCAUUUAUUGGACUAAAUUUUUGUAGCUUGCCUCUGGUGAGGUUUUUGGACAGGACCAACCAAUAGCACUGAAGUUAUUGGGCUCGGAAAGUUCAGUACAUGCACUAGAAGGUAGCUUCACUCACUUAUUGUCCUUCACAUUUGAGAAGCAACACCAAUCCAUCUUAAUUUUCUACAUAAUACACAUUUUGAACUACAUUCCAAAUUCCAUAUGUACUCCCAGGUAUAAAUGAGUAACUGAGAGAGAGCAAUAUCUCCCUUCUUCCUGAUGCUUUCUUAUCAUUACAACUGUAGGUGUAGUUAUGGAACUGCAGGAUUCAUUGUAUCCAUUGCUAAGGGAAGUCAGCAUAGGCAUAGAUCCUUAUGUGAUCUUCGAAGAUGCAGAUUGGGCCCUUCUAAUUGGGGCCAAACCCAGAGGACCUGGAAUGGAGCGAGCUGGCAUAGUAGAUAUCAAUGGUCAAAUCUUUGCUGAACAGGUUUCCUUUUGCAUUGUUUUCCUCAUUAUCUGGAAGUAUACUGUUGUGAAAUCGUAAGAACUCUUUCUGUGUAAGAGGCAGAUUAUUUUUCUUUGCGGGGAAGUAUAUCUCAAACUUUGACAUUGAACUAUGUGAUUCCUUAGAUACAAAAUGUGCACCGUCCUCUUGCAUAUUCAAGGGGACAAACAAUGGGAUUUCUCAGCAUGAAACCUGCUAAAAAAACUUGAACAGAAAUAUGAUUUUAACCGAUAUGUGAGUAAACAAAUGCUCACCGAAUAGUUGUGCUGUUAUUCGCUGAAAUCUUGAAUUGUCUCAGGGGAAAGCACUUAACGCUGUGGCAUCCCGGAAUGUGAAAGUCAUAGUUGUUGGGAACCCCUGUAACACUAAGUAUGGACAGCUUUUCUGGUUGCUAAGUGUGUUAUUGACUUAUCCUGUUAUCAUGUCUAACAUGGGGUAUAUGCUUCUUGCAGUGCUUUGAUAUGCUUGAAAAAUGCUCCUAACUUACCAGCAAAAAACUUUCAUGCAUUGACAAGGUUGGAUGAAAAUAGAGCCAAGUUUCAGGUACUUGAUGUUAAAUCUUCCCUCUAUCCAUAAUGUAGUGCACAUAGAUUUUUCUUGAAAGUGUAAACUUUGACCAAAUUUAUAGAGAAAACUAUUUAUAUCAAUCGUACCAAAUAUAAAAAAUAUUGAACUACAUCUUAUGAUGGAUCUAAUGAUAUAUAUUUGACAUUCUACUCCCUCUGUUUCUAAAUAUAAGACCUUUUAGAGAUUUCAAUAUGGGAUACAUACGGAUGUAUAUAGACGUAGUUUAGAGUGUAGAUUCACUCAUUUUGAUCCGUAUGUAGUCCGCAUUAGAAUAUCUAAAAAGCCUUAUAUUUAGGAACGGAGGGAGUAGAUGUAAAUGUUUCGUUCACAAAUUUGGUCAAAGUUUGUGAGGAUUGACUUUUUAAAAAAUCUAUAUGGAGUACAUUAUGGAAUGGAGGGGGUAAUUAUUUAUGAUGUGUUUACGUUAUUUUAUUUCAAAAAAUGACAAGACUAAUCUGUCAUUCACAAUGUUUUUGCAGCUAGCAUUACAAGCUGGUGUGUUCUAUGACAAAGUAUCAAAUAUGACUAUUUGGGGAAACCAUUCAACAACUCAGGUGAAGAUAUGAUUGCAAACAACAAGGCUACUCUUUUGAUUACUGAUUUGAUUAUUUCCACCUGAGUAGGUUCCUGAUUUCUUGAAUGCCAAAAUUAGUGGGAGGCCAGUAAAAGAAGUUAUCAAAGAUACAAAGUGGCUAGAAGAGGAUUUCACUAUAACUGUUCAAAAGGUACAUAUUGCUCCACAUUUAUCAUCAGUUUCUUUAUCAUUUGGGACAACCAAGAGAAUAUUGUGCAUUCAUUCAUAUGGCUAUGCAGCGUGGAGGUGUGCUCAUUGAAAAGUGGGGCAGAUCUUCAGCUGCAUCAACCGCUGUUUCCAUCGUCGAUGCCAUGAGGUCCCUUGUAACUCCUUCCUCGGAAGGGGACUGGUUCUCUACAGCGGCAAGUUUUCUACUUUAGGACUGUUCAUUGUUUAUUUGUUUUAGUGUACCACUAAAGCAAAGGUCAUGCCAAACCAUAGGUUUAUACGACCGGAAAUCCUUAUGGCAUAGCAGAAGACCUCGUAUUUAGCAUGCCUUGUAGGUCAAAGGUAAGAUUUCAUAUUGUAAUUCCUAGUACUUUUCUUCUUGAUAUUAUACAACAUCACAAUUUGCACUAUGACAUUAUUCAUACAGGGUGAUGGCGACUAUGAACUAGUUCAACAUGUGGCAAUGGAUGAUUUUCUCUGGGACCGGAUCAAAAAGGUACUAUUGAGUUGUAGGAGUAAUCAUUGAUGAUAGGAGCAUAGAUAGAGCACACGGACUAUAAUGAUUCGAGUGACCGAUCUUAUUAUAAUUCCUUUAGAGUGAAGCAGAACUGAUCGCCGAGAAAAGAUGUGUUGCCCAUCUUAUAGGGGAGGUAAGUAAUCUUGAAAAGUACUUAGUCUCUUCAUGCAAUAAAGGGAAAAUGAUGGGGAAAUAUUCUACAGAAAUUACUAAUGCCAAAUCUGUUCUUGCAAUGUAGGGUAAUGCAUUAUCUGAUCUUCCUGGGGAUACAAUGCUACCGGGGGAGAUGUAGUUCUACUGCUAUCGAUCAUACUUGCAAUCUGCAAAUGGCUACUGGUCUAUAUAUGUUAUUCUGUUAUUAGAAGGGUCACAAGGUUCCCAACGGGAAGAACGAUAGUUGCAAGAAAUGACUGCUUCCAGGCUGCUGCAUCUAUAUUCUUCUAUAAUAAGCACACAUAAUUUUUUUGUACACUAGUAUUUCCGGGACAGAAUGAAUGUACUAGCAUGAAGAUUGAGAAAUAAAAAGUUUUCUUUCUAUCAUUUCUGCUAGUGUUUGUUUGCAUGUUAUUCAUAUUAGACACCUGGCUUUUAGUCUCGGGCGCUACAAAACAUAUUUGUACGCGGGCUUGAAAUAAGUAAUAUAAUUCGGAUAUGACACUGCAGUCUGUCAUGAGAACCCAAAUAAAUUCAGUAAAAUACUCAGCCAUUAACACAUUUAGUUAUAUCACUAGCCCAAGUAAUAUACCAUCAAUAUCUCAAGCAGUCGAGUCAUUGCCCAACUUCUGGUAUCUUUGAUGAGUGCACACCGUAUAAAGUUCAUGAGAUAGAAAUUGCAUGGAUUCCGUCUUGUACCACACAUGGUCAAUUGUAAUUAAUACUCCGUAGACAAUUGAAGACCAAUUCUAACUAUAAGGAACUAAAAAAAUCAUCUUAAGUGCACGAUUCGCAACAAAAAUAUAAUAUUUUGACUGAAAUAUUGAGAAACUAAUCAUUUAAUAUAAAAAAGUAGUGCUCCCCCCGUUCCGUAAUUCUUGUCGUGGUUUUAGUUCAAGUUCAAAUUUGCUUUUUGAUGCUGUGAUAACCAAGGAUGGAGAUACAAUUCCCGAAUCGACAUAGGCGAGUUUUCUUUCCACGUGUCAUUUCUAUUCUAAUUCUAAUGCCACAGAUCAGUUUGUAAUUUUUUAGUACAAAUAUCAUAUCAAAAAGAUAUUCUCUCUAUUAUAAUAUUAUACUACCAUGUGUUUCAGCUACCGAGCGAUGACGAAUCAAGUGAAAUACUCAACAAUAAUGAAGUGGAGGAAAAUAAUUCCACGGAGAGCCCAGAAUAUACACCUAUUCUUGAAGAAAACAUAGCAAAAAAGAGGCCAAAGAUUCUGAACAUACACAGGUGACUUUCCUUUUCCAACUAUAUCUCGCAAAAUCAUUCUAAUAUAUUAUAUCCUACAUAUGGGUAAUUCUCUUAAUAUUGUUCUCGGAAAUUAACCCACAACGAAACAAGUCAACAAAUGGUGGCAGCUCAGGACGAGGAAUUGUCACAAACACCCAGCACGGAAGGGCUUCAAACUAUAGAGGACGAUCUAACAAUGCCCGUGCAUAUAAUUAAAGAAACAUAUACGACGGCAUAACAAGCCUAAGAAGGCACAAGACUAUGUUGUUUCUCCACAAGGCACAUAACAAAACCUUCAAUGUCCUUGUACUGCUACAUUUUGUGUGUUCAUUAUUAUUAAAUGUUAUCAUGGCCAUCAUGACAGAUUAUGCCCUGCACUGGCGAUGAUUGGUCCGUUAUAGAAAAUAUCAGAUCCGAACCAAGCAAAGAAAGAAAUUUAGUGAGCAUCGGCGACGCAUUUCUGAAAAAAAAAGACAUUUACUAUCUCUUCUAACUCCCGGAGAAUGGGUUGGCGACGAAGUAAGUAUAUUAUUAUUAUUAUUAUUAUUAUUAUUAUUAUUAUUAUUAUUAUUAUUAUUAUUAUUAUUAUUAUUAUUAUUAUUACUACUAUUAUCGCAUUAGGACAUGAAGAUGCUAUUUGAUUAUGAGUAUGUGUCAUCUAAUAUACUAUGUACACUUUUAAUUGUAGGUCAUGAAUACGUACAUAAAUUGCAUGACUGCUACAGUGCAUCUACAAGUAAGGUCAGGUGGAAGUGUGUUCUUAGAGAAUGCAUGCAUCUCUAAUAUGAUAAAGAUCGGUAGCUAUCUGCCCUCAGAUGACACGGAUGCUGCACCAGCAUGGGUAUUAAACCGAGCCAAAGCGUAUUUGGAAAAUGAUAUGGUUAGUCUUAGUUUUCUACAUAUUUCUGUGAAUUACAGCGAGAAUGACCGAUUCGUCCACAUACAAGUACAACUAAAAUAACCAUUUUCAUUAAUAUUUUUGUUAUUAAGCAUAACAAAAUUUCUUUAUCAUCCAGGUCAUCUUGUGGUCUCUGGAUGUUAAAUUACAUGAAGUACUUCACGGGACACAGUUUGUCCGACACUCCCGAACAGGUAUUUUGCAUCGUAUCAUGAUACUAAUUAUUUCGUGUUGAAUCAUUAUUUGAAAACUAAGUCUCAUUACUACUUCACUUUAGGUUCACAUGACAGAUUUUAGAACAAAAUUAGUUGUCAUUUUAGUCGACUCGGAAUUCAGUGAUGACGAUAUAAGAAAUCGAGACUUGGAUGAUGAUGAAACCAACAUGGAUCCCACUGAUUGUAAGAUUGUCGAAAGAUCUCCUAACAAACCCAAAACAUCCAACUCAUCGUCACAAGUUGAGCUUAUCUCGCAUUCGUUUAUCCUUUCGCCAUCUGUCAGUCCAACAAACGACAACUUAAUAGAUGAACUUUGCUUGUUCAUCAGCAUGGUUGAUGAUGUCCCGAUGCUAGAGUAAGACACAUUUUUGCAGUUCAUUUUUGUUUCUAAUAAACUAUUACUCUUGUAUAAUGACAGAAUUCCCAUUUCAUAGGAGCGAAUGGGUGAAAAGCUCUCAUCCUUACCCUAUUUGUUUAAACAUGAGACAAUUAAAGAACAUAUUAAAAAAUGAUGAGUACAUGGAUGCUGAUUGUUUUAACAUGGCUAUGACGAUACUAGCGCGCCACUACGUCCAGCUUGCUAGAGACGUCCAGUACACUAUAUGGAUCUACAAUUUUGUGUAAGUUAUUUUAAUCACAUUUUACAUUUUGCCUCAUUCUACUAAUAUUUUCUUACAAUAUUGUAGUCCAUGUCCCACUAUGCACGAGUCCCAAGUCAUCGUGACGGUAUGGACAUUGCUAUGUUGGCACAACUGAUUGAUAACUGGCCUGACAACAAUGAGUAUCAUAUCUCAGAAUGUGAUACGGUAAGAUUUAAAUUCAAAUUCAUUGUUUAUUUGGUCUUAAUAAAUGGUAAUGAUUGAUGUAUUUCUAAAUGCAUGUAUCAUUGUAGAUUUUAUUGCCUUGUGAUAUUCUUGGGUUAUUUUUAUUGUUUGUCUUGGACCAACAUAAAAAAGUUGUUUCUAUUUUGAACCCGCUUUCAAUACCCACUUUCGGAAAGCAUAUACUUGAAACUAUGGCCAACAAUCUAAACCUUGCACUCCAAGCUGCAAACCCUGCCUUCAAGGACGACAUUUUGAUAUGGGGAUGCAAAGUUCCUGCUGUUCCCACAAACUCAUACGGGUACAUCACAAUCUUAAUUGAUUCAUUCAGCUCGCAUGUAACAUUUCAUAAAUGCAGUCGCCUGUCUGGUUAUUUGGUUUUCAAUUUAAUGCACUCAUGGCACGAUGGGACGCUACAUUUUCCAAUACCCAAGGUAAGUAUUGACACCAUGCUCAUUUCUACACAAGUUACGCAUGUUUUUAUAAUAAUAAUGGUGUAUAAUGCAUGCGUAGGAUGAUUUUGAACUGAGGAAGCGAUUUUUGGUUCAUAUUUUGAAGUAUGAAGAGAAUGAAGUUCUAAACAAUAUCCUAGUCUUAGAACGAAGCAUCAUAGAUCGAAUCAAAAGAUGGACCUUCCGAAGAGGAUCAUCAUCAAAUAAUGAUUACUAGAUAAUGAUCCUUAGUUGUUAUUUUUAAGUAUUUUUGUAAUAAGUAACAAUUAUAAUACAUUUAUGUGAUCGUUAAUUUUAUGUGAAGACAUGUGUAUUGGUCGUGUGUUACAUGCGCGAGUUUUUUUCAUUUUGUUUUGGAAGAUCACAACAUUUCAACAAUGCAAGUCUUUCACCGGUCAAACAAAGACUUAUGAUAAUCUAAAAUAAAUUAUUGCAUUGAAAUCAUUGGGCGUGACCCGCAUUUAAAUGUUCUGGUAAAAACACAAGACAAAUUUCAUGUUUUUAUUGUAGUUUAUAAGGAUACGUGUGUAGCACGUGCAUGCUUACUUGUUAUGACAAAGUAUCAAAUAUGACUAUUUGGGGAAACCAUUCAACAACUCAGGUGAAGGUAUGAUUGCAAACAACAAGGCUACUCUUUUGAGUACUAAUUUGAUGGUUUCCACCUAAGUAGGUUCUUGAUUUCUUGAAUGCCACAAUUAGUGGGAGGCCAGCAAAAGAAGUUAUCAAAGAUACAAAGUGGCUAGAAGAGGAUUUCACUAUAACUGUUCAAAAGGAACAUAUUGCUUCACAUUUAUCAUCAGUUUCUUUAUCAUUUGGGACAACCAAGAGAAUAUUGUGCAUUCAUUCAUAUUUCUAUGCAGCGUGGAGGUGUGCUCAUCGAAAAGUGGGGAAAAUCUUUAGUUGCAUCAACCACUGUUUCCAUAGUCGAUGCCAUGAGGUCCCUUGUAACUCCUUCCCCGGAAGGGGACUGGUUCUCUACAGGGGCAAGUUUUCUACUUUAGGACUUUUCAUUGUUUAUUUGUUUUAGUGUACCACUAAAGCAAAGGCCAUGCCUAACCAUAGGUUUAUAUACGACCGGAAUCCUUAAGAUGACCUUUCCCCAUAUGGGCUAGUCAGAAGCUUUAGACAAACUAGAUAUGAUAUCAUGCGCGUUGCUACGAGAAUUGGAUGCAGUUAGUUUUGUAUUAGCAAAUUAGCAUAGAAACUAAAAUACAUACAAUUUGAAUAUGAGUAGCAUGCAUGGUGCAUGUUAAUGUAGUUUUUCCAUGCAUAAUGACAUGGUGAGUUGGCAUAGUUGCAUGUUAAGAUAAUUGAGUUAGUGGGGAUCAACUAUUUGGUGGACCUACUUGAUGAUGUGGAUAGGUUGCAUGUCAAGAUAAAUAAGAUAGUGGCAAUGAAUCUCUUCGGCAUAUACUAGGAUUCAAAGUUUCCAAAGUUGAGCUUGAAAAUCCGCUGAACGCAAAGAUCAAAGUUGUAUGAUCUGGUCGUGGGGGAGAAUAUUAUGGUAGGUUUGUUGCUUAUGAGAAAAUUCCUAGACCUUUUGUCAAGUUCCAAUCUGCAAAUCAAAUUGUUUCGCAUUAUUGAAUGCCGGGUGAACCUCAACAAAAUGGUGUGGUUGCGUGCAUUCAACUUUAACAGUGAGCCUUUCGAUGGAGGCACUAAAGAUGGCCUCACGCACACUGAAUAUUUCUCCAAUCAGUAAGCGCUGAGCAUAACUUAUGAGAUUUGGGCGACAAAGAAACAGGGCUUGAAUUACCUACAUGUGUGGGUUUGUCCCGCUGAAGCUAAAGUUUUCAAUCCACAACUUAACAAUUGUAUCCAAUAAUAGUCAGUUGUUUCUUGAUUGGAAACCCUCAUAGGGGAAAGGGGUGACGCUUCUGUUGUCCAAGUCAUGCCGCAAAGUUUGUGGACAGUAGGAAAGUGGGUUUUUAGGAUAAUGAGGUCACAAAGAUAAGGGAGAUCUAUCUUGGGGAGAAACGGGUGUGUAUUCCAUCCUCGACUAUCCAAAUAUCAAUUUUCUAUUACAAAUAAAUGUGACAUCUAAUGGUCCUAAAUUUUAUUACCGUUCAGAUUCUCUACUAAAUGGUGAUCCUGAAACUGAUGAUACUAGAAAAUACAUAAUAUAAUGAGGACCCCGACAAGAUAAUGAUCCGAAAAUGGAUUUCCUCCACCACGACUUCAUGUACAAAGACCAUUCCGUUAUAGGAAGAAAGUUAUCUCAAAUGGUUAUAUUACUUACAUGAGUGAUGAUGUAAAUUAUAUAGGAAAUGUUGCUGAUCCAACCUAAUAUAAGGAAGACAUUAAAAGUGAAAAUUCGUCCAAGUGGCUAGUUGCCAUGGAAGAAGAGUUGAAAUCUAUGAGCUCAAACAUUGUUUAAUACUAAGAGUAGGCUACAAGUGGAUCUACAAAACCAAGUAUGACCCCAAAGACGAAUUGGAAAGGUUCAAAGCAAGGCUUGUGGCAAAAGGUGUCACAUAGAGUGGACAAAAUUGAUUGCAAUUAAAUUUUCUCCCCCGUGUCAGCCAAAGACUCUUUUAGAAUCGUGAGAGCACUGGUACUUCAUUAUGACUUAGAACUACACCAAAGGGAUGUUAAAAUGACAUUUCUAAAUGGUGAGUUAAAUGAUGACAUUUACAUGACUCAAUCUAAAGGUUUUGUCAUGGAAGGAAAAGAACAUUUGGCAUGUUGUCUAACGACAUGAAUUUAUGGCUUGAAGCAAGCUUCAAGGAAAUGAUACCUCAAGUUCAAUAAACUAUCAUAACAUUUGGUUUAACAGAAAAUGUUGUGGACAACUACAUAUAUGUUAAAUUUAAAGGCAGUAGGUUCACACUUUUAGUCAUGUAUGUGGAUGACAUAUUAUUAGCUUGCAGUGAUAAGGACACAAAAAUCUUGCCAUCGAAUGUUCAUAUGGAAGGUCUCAGUGAAGCCUCGUAUGUCCUCGACAUCAUGAUUCAUCGAGAUAAGUCCAAAGGAAUGUUGAGACUAUGAGAAAAAAGGCAUACCUUGAGAGAAUACCGAAGAAAUACAAUACAAAUAAUUUCUCAACCUCACCUGCUACUAUAGUCAAGGGCGAUAAGUUUGUGAGAUAACAAUGUUCGAGGAACCAAAAUGAAACUAAUCAGAUGAAGGUAGUUCCUUAUGGUGAUGUCCGAAGCAUCAUGUAUGCUCAAGUUGGUGCUAGCUCUGAUUUGGCUUUUGUAAUCGGAAUGCUUCGCUAAUACCAAUCAUAUUCAGGACCGCACCACUGGAAUGCCGCAAAGAAAGACUUGCAUUACAUACAAGGCACUACAUAUUUCAUUUCAUGCUUACGUAUAGAAAGUUUGAUAAGCUACCGUAGGGACGAUCUAGCAACAAGCACAACCGACAGUUUCCAUCAUCAAGCUAUGACGCCACUGCCGUUCUAAUAGUCGAUGAUGCCGCGUCGGAUGCGCAUGAGCUCCUCCUCCUCGCAGCGUUGGAUGAGCACGAGCUCCUUCUCCUUGCGCAUAUGAGCAGGAUGGCAUCCUCCGUAGCACCGACUCUCAUCCUCAGUCUGGUCAGCGAAGUUGUUUGUUCCGACGGUGCACCCAGAACCCUUUGUGUUGUGCUGGUUGACGAACUGUGCAGUGUGCUUGAACACCUCGUACCGCAUUGCCUUCUCCUCCUUGUCCUUGUACGUGCACCCGUACUCGGUCAUCCACUCCUCGAACCACCUCUUCAUGACUUUCUCCUCCAUGCUUUCCUCCUCCAGGGCCUCCCCAUGAUGAUGAAUCGGCUUGCGGGCUGCGAUAACCAGUGGAAACAAGCUUAAUGCAUGGUCCAUCACGUGGCAAAGUAACAAGGUAGGACAUGAAAGUUGAGGCAGAUUCAUUUCAUACAUACCUGAUGGCUCCUCUUUGAAGUACCACACUCCUCCCACCAAGACAGAUAGGGCACCCAUUGUCACAAUACUACCAUGCCAUUCACCCAUGGGCAACCUGUACUAGGGGAUACAUGAGAACGCAACAUUAUAGAUAAGAAAAUAUUACUACAGCUCUUAAUGAAGUUCGCAUUGGAUUUGUAUAUGGCAAGACACAAGCCCCUAGUGUCUUCCAAAGUUGACUAAUAAAACAGCAUCGUAUUCAUGAAACAGUAGAAUUAGUUGAGAUUGAAUGGAGCAAAUUAACUGCAGUGCUGCUUUGGACAGUUAACCAAACUAGGAAAUCACAUGUAACCAUACAGUGCCAGAAUAGCAGUCCUAUUAUCAGACAUAGUUGUGACAGCAACAUGAAAAUUUAUCUAAUUUUGCACAACAGCUAGAUUAACAAGCUUUCCAAGGGCCAGCACAGGUAAAAAACUUAGCCUGCAAUGCCCACUUGAGCUCUUCUUCUCUAAGGAGAGCUCGUAAGCCUUGCUCAGCUUCGGACUUUGAGCUCUGCUCCUCAACUGUAAGAAGGUUAACUUCAGCUUUUUUAAUAAGAUGGCUGCAUGCAUCAUUAUGAUGCAGAGGCCGGGGGUACGCCUCCAUUUCAAAAAAAACAGGUAAAAAAACCUCUUAAUUCGAUUCCUGUGGGGAAAAAAUAGGGGUUCUGUUGUGUACCAAAUCAAAUUGUCUACAUACAUCACUCAUAUAAGCUGAAAUUCAGUGGUUACGCUACCUGCGAGGGAAACCGGAUCCACCCACACCGCUACCAAGGUUCCUCUACAGCAGAGAGAGAGAGAGAGGAGAGAUGAAUUAAUCACGCGCAGAUAAUAAGAGAUUAAGGGUUGUGAUGUACAGAGUGGUGCUGGAGCAGCCUCGCGGAUCCUACGGUGGGAGGAGACGGCGAGGGAGCCCAAGAAUCGAAGCGGCGACAUGGAUCCGGUCCCUUCCUCCCUCCCUCUGUGCUGUCUGCCUGGAGAAACAACAAACAGAGGCAAUGACCUAACUGGUGGGCUCACGGCCCGGUGAGCGUUCUUCUAUAACGUCUAGGCCCAUAUAGUACCAGCCGUUUGGCACCGACGAAGGGACUGAGUUACAUCGAAAUCGCAUAGCUAAAUUUUCUCUAUCUCUAGGUGUAGAUAGACAUGUGUGGUUCCUUCAACCACAUGAUAUUGUGAUGAUUCCGUUGAACUUGUUCGAAUAAAGAAUCGAUAUACCCCUCAAAAUAAAGACUUCGAAAUCGCUGGUUGAAGGAUUGUUUUGAAAACCUAGUUGAGAGGUAUCUCCUGUAAAUGUUACAUUCAAAAUCUUCUUUGGUGAUUAUAAGUGACACAACGGAUGAACGGCCAUUAUCGUCACCAGAGAAUUUUGAUAAGUUUUUCCCACGGGAGGGAAUGGGAUUGCUUUUGUUGGAUCUUUUUUUCCAAAAGCAAAAAGAAAUAUGGAUUCAUCCUCCAAAUUACACACCGCUUUCACUGUUGUGUUACUCUCAUCAAAAUCUUCGAAACUAUAUCGAUCAUUGACAGGUUUCGUUUUUCAAACGCAACUCUUACUCCUGCCGAGAAUUAACAUGUAUUGUUCCUCGUGAGUGCCCCUAGAAAGCUCAUCCAGAAACGUACCCUCUUGUCAGUUGCUCCUGCGAUACUUUUACGACAAUUGUAUUUGUAAUAUGCUAUUUUACACUCAUUGUGUAAAAUGGAAUGCUUCUAGUAGAAAAAUGUGCUACCCCACUACGUUUCCUUGGUUCGGGUUAUGGGCCGGCCUGUAUGCACAACAAGCAGUAUGCAUUUGCCGGUUUGAGGAAGCUUCCAUCUGUUUUUUUAUCAUUUCCUUUUUUUUUNNNNNNNNNNNNNNNNNNNNNNNNNNNNNNNNNNNNNNNNNNNNNNNNNNNNNNNNNNNNNNNNNNNNNNNNNNNNNNNNNNNNNNNNNNNNNNNNNNNNAACGAUUUACAUGUUUACAAUAUCCUAAGGAGAGACGUGUUCUUGCUGUUGUUUGUGCUUUCACUAGCUUUGCAUGUGUUUGGUGGUCUGAACAUUGUAGAUUAUAUCCUGUUCCAGCUACUUGGGCUGCUUUGAAAACUGUUAUGCGUACUCGUUGGGUUCCACCAUAUUAUCAACAUGAAUUACAUCAAAAAUUGCAGCGCUUAAGACAAGGAAAAAAUUCUAUAGAAGAAUAUUAUCAGGAAUUACAAACUGGCUUGAUUAGAUGUGGUAUUGUUGAGGAGAAUGAAGCUAUGCUUGCACAUUUUAUGGGUGGAUUAAAUAGAGAGAUUCAGACCAUUCUAGAGUACAAGGAUUAUAAUAAUAUCACUCGUUUAUUCCAUCUUGCUUGUAAAGCUGAACGCGAAGUGCAGGAUCGACAGGCAUUGGCGCAAACUAACUUUUCUGCAGGUCGACCUUCAUCAUGGACACCACGUGCAUCAUCUACUUCCACUGCACCAUCACCUCCUUCAGGUGCCACCUCCAACCGUGAUACAAGAAAGCAGGCACAACCACCACUAUCUGCCAAGAGCACACCUGCCGGGCCUGCACAGAGCUCUUCUUCUUCCAUGGCGUCAACAGGGCACACAAGUGAUAUUAUUUGUCGUCGUUGUAAGGGAAGAGGACAUUUUGCGAGAGAAUGCAAAUCUCAGCGUGUGAUGAUUGCUACUGAGGAUGGUGGGUAUGAGUCCGCUACCGACUAUGAUGAGGAGACUUUGGCUCUUAUUACACAUGAAGAACACGGUGGAGAUGAUUCUGAUCAUGAGCCGCAAUACAUGGCUGCUGAAGAUGCUCACAGGUAUGAAUGUUUAGUUGCUCAACGUGUUUUGAGUGUGCAGGUUACACAAGCUGAGCAAAAUCAGAGGCAUAAUUUGUUCCAUACAAAGGGAGUUGUGAAGGAACGUUCUAUUCGCGUCAUCAUAGAUGGAGGGAGCUGCAACAACUUGGCUAGCAUGGAGAUGGUGGAGAAGCUAUCUCUCACCACAAGACCACAUCCACAUCCUUACUACAUCCAAUGGUUCAACAACAGCGGCAAGGUUAAGGUAACACGUACUGUUCGGGUGCAUUUUAGUAUCUCUACAUAUGCUGAUUAUGUUGAUUGUGAUGUGGUACCUAUGCAAGCAUGUUCCUUAUUACUUGUUAGACCAUGGCAAUUUGAUAAAAAUUCUGUACACCAUGGUAGAAACAAUCAGUAUACUCUUGUUCAGAAGGAUACAAAUAUUACUUUGCUUCCUUGACUCCUGAUUCCAUUUUGAAAGAUGAUAUUCAUAGAGCUAAUAAAGCAAAACAGGAGAAAAAUAAGAGUGAAACUCAGAUUGUGGCAAAAGAAUUUGAGCAACAAAUGAAGCCUAAUAAUAAACAAUCUAGUGUUGCUUCUGAAAUUAAAUUGAAAAGUGCAUGUUUACUUGCCACCAAAUCUGAUAUUGAUGAGCUAGUUUUUAGCAAAUCUGUUUGCUAUGCUUUUGUGUGCAAAGAGGCAUUAUUUUCAUUCGAGGACGUGCCUUCCUCUUUGCCCCCUGCAGUCACUAACAUUUUGCAGGAGUUCGCUGACGUCUUCCCACAAGACAUGCCACCGGGAUUACCACCUAUUCUAGGGAUUGAGCAUCAAAUUCACUUAAUUCCCGGUGCAUCGUUACCCAACCGUGCACCAUACCGUACCAAUUCAGAGGAGACGAAGGAGAUUAUGCGUCAAGUACAGGAGCUGUUCGACAAAGGUUAUAUUCACGAAUCCCUUAGUCCUUGUGCUGUUCCUAUUAUUCUAGUGCCGAAAAAGGAUGGUACGUCGCGUAUGUGUGUUGAUUGUAGAGGCAUUAAUAAUAUUACUAUUCGUUAUCGUCAUCCUAUUCCUAGGCUAGAUGAUAUGCUUGAUGAAUUGAGUGGCUCUACAAUAUUCUCCAAAGUUGAUUUGCGUAGUGGAUACCAUCAAAUUCGUAUGAAAUUGGGAGAUGAAUGGAAAACAGCUUUUAAAACUAAGUUUGGUUUAUAUGAGUGGUUAGUCAUGCCUUCUGGGUUAACUAAUGCACCUAGUACUUUCAUGAGAGUAAUGAACGAAGUUUUACGUGCUUUCAUUGGACGAUUUGUGGUAGUCUAUUUUGAUGAUAUACUGAUUUAUAGCAAAUCUUUGGAAGAACAUUUGGAACA